CGCGGCUCGGGACCCCGCGCAGAGGCUGGCGAGCAGAGAGCGGGCUGCUGCGGUGGCUGCGGACCGGCUGGGAGGCCGAAAGUUUCUCUGCUCGCCUUGUCCAGCGAUCGGGAGCCGCGAGCUGCUGCCCGCGCCGCAGGGACCUACCCGGCACCCCAGCUCUGGAGGAAGGGAGACUGGAGCACACCGCAAAAGACGCCGGAAAAAAAAAGAAAAAGAAGAACAUCCUAAACCAGCCCCGAGGCUCAGGGCGCAGGUAAGGUGCGGUGGACCAAGGAUCGUGCCGGCUCCCGUGGAGUGUCUGCGGCCGCGGCAGGCUCCCAGCUGCAGGGGAAACUGAGCUCCCCGCGCGGCGUGCCAGUCCGUGCGUGCGUCCUGGCGUCCGUCGGUCUUUGUCUGUCUGUGUCAGUGUCUGUCUAGGUGUCUUUGUCUCCGCAUGUAGCUGUCAGGGUCUUCCCCCUCUGCCACCAUGGGUGCUGCUGAUCUGGCGCUAGUCCCAAGGAAAUGAUGGUGCGUCCGUCAGUCCUUCUGUCUUUGUCUGGUCUCUGGCAGACAGGGAUUACCUACUCCCAGCCCCGAAUCUGAUCUUGGAGACAUAAGUGUUAGGUGACACUAGUGUCAGAGGUGAGGCGAGGAAGUGAGGACACAGGGGCUGAGGCCCCAAAGAGGGUCCGACAGUUAAGGACCAGUCGCUGAACUUCGCCGCCUGGAACUUCGGAGAUGGGCCGUGGUCACACUGGUGGGGAGAGGACACGGAUGCAAUUAGACGCUUGGAAUGUUUCCCUGAAGGAAUAAAUCACGGGAGGUGAAGUGGGUAGAAAGAAAGGUGGGUGAACCUGGUGUCUAAGCGGCCUUCUGGAACUACAGAUCACCAGGGUCAGUCCUGGACGUGCAAUGCAGGCAGUAUCUGACACACAGUCACACACCAUGUGCAAUCUUUUCCCCCACCGCAGGCAGUCAGGCCCCCACUCCUUCCCCAGCGCACCCUACUAUAGGCUUAACUCCUCUUGUCAGCAGCCUGCUGAGCCCACAACCAGGUAGCAACAGGCACGGAAACAUCAAGGGCCAGGUGACGUUUCUUUUCUGUUCCAAGUGGAAAGGAUUGAAUUGCGGAGCAUAUGAGUGUUCUGCUCACCCGCCCACGGGUGUCAUGCCUGGGAAAGUGCUGCAGACUGUUGGCUUCCGAAUCUCAGCUUCCUAAAACAAGGGAUGCUGAUGGAUCCCCAGCACCUAAGCAGUCUACUGUCAGCCCCCCUGCUCUGGUCAUUGAGUGCUGGCAAGCUGGUGAGCAGGCACUGAGUUCUGGACAAAGCUUUGCUGCUCCAGAGAAGGGUCCCCCACUCUGCUGGAAGUGCAGCCUACUAGUGAUCCUGGGAGCCCUGGAGCCCAGCCACGAGGAGAUCAGCUGCCUACACCAAGACCCUGGAGAGAAGGCUGGGUUAGGGGCAAGAGAGGAUUUGUAACUGGAGCUUCCUCCAAGUUCAAAAAUAAUUUUCUACAGGCACUCAGGGAAAAUGGAAGUGUUUGAAGGGUGUGUGCAUAUGGGUAUGUACAGUUAGCCUUUACAGACAAGAAGGGUGGUUGUGUUCAAGGCUGGAGAAGAGUCUGUGGGCAGGAGCUGUGGGCAGAGCAUACACACUAAUCAGGUGUGGCUCUACAUCUUGCAUUUAUCCAGUGCCUUUCUUCUGAGGGACUUUCUGUGCAUCAUAGAUAUUAUCUCAUUUGUUAUCUCCUUUAUCCUCACAAUGUAACUACCAGGUUGGCAUGAGACAUGGUUUACUCUCUGUGUCUGCCAGUGGAGAAACCGAGGCACCAGAAGGGAGGGGUGCCCCCUGAGGCCCCACAGCUACUGGGAACAAAGUCUAGGCUAAUGGGAGUCCAAAAAGGAGGCCCCAGCUGGGUAAAUUUAAGUGUGAGACACUCACCUUGAUGGAAAUCAGGAGAAAACAGUGGAAAGAGGAAGGAAAGGUGUCUUUCCAGAAUGAGAGUGUGUCUGUAAGCAAGCGAGAGGGAGGGUGGGACAUUCACUAUUGCUCAAGAUGGUUGUUAUUUAAUAGUUAUUACUGCCACUGUGCACUUUAACAAUUUAACCUGCUUUGCCAAUUCAGCUCAUGCACUUGGAUGUCUGUAAGAAGCCCCAUCCGUCUGCAUGGGUUUCAGUAAAUGGUGGCAAGGGCUAGCAUUAGAAAGGCAUCUGAGUGGGUGUGCUGGGGAGCGCCAAUGCCGUCUACCUCUUCACCCAUGCAUGCAGACCUCUGGCUUCUCAACACCAAAUGGCAAAUCUUGUCCUCACACUCUCCCAAAGCAUGGGCACUCCAGCAAGGCUGCGGAGUUGAAUACAGUAAUGAUGAAGAGCCUGCAGUCAAGCAGCUUAUGGACUGGUGAGAUGGACAAUAUUGUAAUGAGAUUUAAUGUCAUUCACUAAAUACUCUGUGUACCCAGUACUUUUUAGUCAUUAUCUCCUUUAAGUCUCACUGCAGCCCUGCCAGACAUGUGUGAUUAUCAGAGGAGAUUGAAAUAACUUAGCUAGGUUAGAGGCUACAGGAACAGGGAUUUGAAUUCAGGUCCAUAAGACUCCAGACCCUGGCUCCUUCCACAUUCUCCUGCUGCCAUUAAGCAGAGAAACACAUGUUCCUUCUGUGCAGAAUAUUCUCACCCCUUCUUCCCCUAGCUAGUCUGGUCAAGGGCCUUCCUCUGAGUUCUUGCCUCCAUCCCGUGGUGUCAGGGUAUUGAUUCACUGACUCCCCAAGAACUGCAAAGUUCCCAGAAGCAGAGGUCUUCUCUCUUGAAUUCCCAGUUCAGAAUACACCGCUGGGUUAUGAUGAGGAGUUCCCUUGGCAGGGAGCACUGUGACAUCCAGUGGUGGGUUUCUGCACAGGCACACUUUGCUGGUGUGACUUCUUACUUCCCUUCCUCUGUUACAGGGCCUCUGCCUGGGUCAGCUGCUCCCAGGCACUGCCUCCAACACUUCUGGAGCCUAAGAGAACCCCAGUCCUCACCCACUCCAUCUCCAGGUCCAGAAAUGUAGAAGUACAGAAGGGGGAGAUGCUAAAUGGGAUUUAGAGCCAGGGCUUUGUACACUUCAAUCCUCUGGGGCAGAUGGUUCCAGGGCAAUAAUGAAGGGGUUCUGGGAUUUUGCCAGCAAAGAGCUAUCCAGCCUGGGGAAUCUUUAGGUAGCUUACAUCUUAGCUCUCACAUUUUAGAUUGCUUUUGAAUUGAUCUUUGUGCUCCUGCAGUUAGGACACUCUUGACACUGGACUGGGAAGUAUGACUUGUUACCAUGUUUGGGUAGAUAAUCUGGCCAUGGUUUCUCCAAGGCCACACCAUUAGGUGGCUCUCUUCCUGUGCCCUUUGCAUCACCUCGGUAUUUCUCAAAUCAAGUUGGCAAUGUGUGUUAUCCGGGGUUCAUGAUGAGUCUAAAUUUUCUUUCAAAGAUCACUAUUCAAGUUUGGAAAACUCUGCAUUUCACUAUUUAGUCAAGGUCUUAUCUAUGUGAGAUGCCAGGGAGACGAUGGGUGAUUUUUAUUUUUAAAGGCUAAAAAAAUAAUUGGAAAGAGAAACCAGCUCACAUGAAUCAGUAACAAGUAAAUUGGAAAUGGGUUUGUACCAACUUUGAAUGCAGCAGCUGUCCCGCUGGAAGGAGGUGAACUAGAGAUAUGAGGGAGGUCAUGGUCAUGAACUGAACCUUGAAAUUGAAUCUAGGAAGGUAUCGAGCAGUUGGAGCAGUCCCCAAAGUCAGCCUUCCAAGACGCUAGCUGAGAACUGAGGAGCUAGGGCUUUCUCUUCCCAGGGGAACCCUAGCAGGAGCCUGUCUCCCCCUCCAAAACAACAUGGUGAAUGAAAAGCGGAGGUAACUCACCUGUCACCUCUGCCUCCAAUCAGUGUGCAGAUGGACCACUUCCAGUAUACAGAGCUCCUCCUCCAAGGGUUUAGGGAAGUCAUUCAAACCCUCUGGCUGACAUCAAGCAGAGCUGGACUCAGUUGCCAGGCUGCAGGGUGAAGCAGCCUUUUCUCGCUACGGUUUCUAUUCUGUGCCUCCCACAUCACACUGUGUCUGAACCUUGCCCUCAGCCAUCCCUAAGCUUCCGGUAAUAAUGAUUUUAAUCCUGUUUUUACUUGCACAGGACUUCAGACUUUAAAAGGGAACACAUUGUUAUUAUUAAUAUUUCCCAUCAACCCUGGAAGAUUUCCUUUAUCAUUUGGCAGACAAAGAAAUUGAGCGAACCUUUUAGAGGUGUAGGAGGUCUUUUAAGAUUUUUCCAAAGAGUUUUGAGAUUUGAACCCAUUAUUCCGCCUCCCAGUCAUGCUAUAACUGGACCCUACGGAUUAUGCAGGGCGGGUGCUGGGGAUCAAAUCCAGGGCCAACACAUGUUAAGCAUGUGCUCUAUCACCGGGCUCUACCCCCAGUCUAAUUAGAUUUAGGUUCACUGAAAAGUAUUAAUAUGCCUAAGAAAAAAAUCAAAUUGAUAAAAACUCAGUUACUUUCAUAAUUAUUAUAAUUUAGCAUGUACAUCUUCAAAAUUUUUUCUCACUUUUUCUAUUCCUCUCUUCUCCCUAAGCACUUUGUAUGUGUGUGUGUAAUAAAAGCUCAAAAAAAACCCCAAAAAACAAUAAACUAGGACAAUAGAAUGUCUCCUUGGGGUUUGCUUUAAAGAAUGAAAUUUAGCAUAUUUUAUUUUAUUUGGGGGGAUACUAGAGAUGGAAUCCAGGGUGCUUUACCACUGAGCCACAUCCCCAGCCCUUUUUAUUUCGAGACAGGGUCUCACCAAGUUACUGAGGCUGGCUUUGAACUUGCAAUCUUCCUGCCUCAGGUGUAUGCCACCAUUCCCAGUUUUGUUUUUUCUUCAUAGCUAAUCAAUUUGUAAGGUUUUUUGGGUCCACUUUACAUUGAAAUGAGAGCACAUUUUAUUGCCCCAGAAUCUGAAUUAGUGAUAUUUGUAACCAUACGAAAUAAGGUAUCAGUUAAAGAACUGGUAUCGUUGAUUCCAGGUGUGAUUUUGUCCCAUCGUCAGAGAAGCGACCCUUGAAUUCGUGAAACACCUUUGGUCUAGAGAUCCCCUCACUAACCCUGUGUCCGACGGGGGCCACCUCCUUUCCUGACUCACUCACAACACCCUUCCUCCCACGUCCCCGACCGGGUCCCUUUCACCUUCUUUCUCAGUCAUGUUCGUCCCAGACACACACAGUCGAUUGUUGGUCUCGACCAACAUGAUUAGGUAGGUCUCUCUCCCCAGUAAAAAAGAAUGAUUCACUACCCGUUUAAUCACAGACUUGUCUACACUACAUCCAACACAGGUCACCCUGUUUCCGCCGUUUCUCGUCGGGAGACUAGUGCUUAUCUAGACGGAAAUACAGUUAAAUAGGGACACCCUCUUCUCUUGAAGGAGGUCCUUCAGACGGACUCGUGCACGCCGUGGAGUGUUAAGUAAGUAGGUGUCGAUGGCGGGGAGGGGGACUCGACACGGGAGGAGACCAUGGGUAAGUGUGUGAGUGUUCACGCACCAUCUUGUGGGUAGGAGUCUCUCUCUCUGGGAUUCAAGAAUCCUGGUCCUUCCCGGGGUGUAGACAGAUCGACCUGACCGGAGGGAUAUCGUACUACCCUCCACACGAGAGGCAGCCCCCUCCCCCAUAUCACAGAACCUCCAUCUCAUCCAUGCCCAGGCAGUCUAGGAUGGCCACGAGCCCUUCAGAGCUGCAGAUCCUCCCAAGCCAGGCAGCAUCUAGAGAGGGGGAACCAGUCUAGGUGAGACUCACAGCUCGAGGGGCAUAUAUUAAAGGAGCCCCUCAAGAGAUGUCCAAAGUGGAGCUGAGAUUGGGGGUUGUGGUGAGCUUUGAUCUCAAACCUUGCCCUGUCCUGUGCAUGCUUUUCACUAUGGAGACUCGCCGGUGGCUGUGGCAAUCCCUGCCUGUUGCACUCGGGGCCGAGGCCUGCACUUGGCUCCAUGGUCUGCUGGCUUUGGGGGCACCUUCGCUCCCCUUGCCUUUGCAAAGCCAUUUGCUGCUAACUCACCCUCCUCCUGGCACCCUGGACUGCUAAAUUGGUCUCAACUUGCUGUACUUCCACCCACCACCUUAGUCAUUAUUCGCUGGCAGCAUUCAGAGAGUGGGUGUAAAGCUGCCGAACAUUAUAUUCCUGCUGUAAAGAGAGAGAAUUGAGUAUAGACAUGCAAGGAGAGGGGAGAGGGAAGGAGGGAAGAGAGAGUAGGGGGGCCGGGAAACAAAGCUUAGGGUUUGCAGGCACCUUUCCCUGGUGACCCCGGUGACACUCGAUGGUGGGGCUGUGAUAGGGGAGUGGGAGGUGAUGCAGGGGCCCACUCACGUCUGAGGGCUGCACAAGGCCCGUCUGGAAGGAGGAAAAGAGAGCCAGGGGGAGAGAAGGCUCCCGCCCUCCACGAGUGCUGUGUUCCUUGUUCCUUGAAUUCUACAGUAUGUACUUGUCAAUCCUACUGAGCACUUGUUCCCAAGUGUAGGAAUUUAGCUUUUCAUAUCUCUCGUCCCUCCUGGCUGAGAUGAUAAGCCCCUUGAAAGAGAAAGUGUGUCCUGCCUCCAGUGUGCAGCAGCAGGCCCUCGAUACCGUCCUGGCUCAACACCACAUGGCUGAGACCGAUGGUGGUACGGCCUGUGAAGGCUCUUCUUACUCAGCCAUUUUGGAUUUUCUAUGCCCAAGGGACAUAGAACUUGGAAACUCAGGCAGGCAGGAGAAGAAAGAAUAAUGAAGGGACUUGCAAGGAUUGGUCUACCAUCUCAGUGAGGAAGCUCCAGCCACGGUAAGGGUUCCGCAGGAAACAGGUUAGCAGAGCAGGAACUUAGAGAGCUCUGUCCUGGUGUAAAUUGCUCCCAGUGAUCUCCAACUAAUGCACGGCACCUCACGAUGGCGCUUCUGAUGCCCAUGCAUUGCACUGGGGCUGACGGGAAGUGGAAAAAAGCAGGGACGGCAUUAGGCAGCAGGGACAGCAUCAGACAGGGCAGAGUGACCUCGACAGGAAGUUCUCUAAAUCACUGAUAAGGGUUGAUUGGUCACUGGGAAAGGAAGGGGAACACAUCCCCAACCCAACAAGGCUUGGGAAUUAGGAUACACUCAAUCCAGGAUCCUUUUACCCUCUCCUAGAGGGAAAUGAUGGGGAAACCCUGAGAACAGAAGCCCCCACACCACUAGGAAGGCAGAGGGACACACCAUGCUGAGACUGCCGAGGGGCAGGGACCAUGAGCCCCCAGGCUGCUCUUGACCUGCAAAUCCCCAAGAGGCAGCCUCAUCCCUAGUUUCUGCAGGAUGCCUGAGCUGGGUCUGUCCUGCCCCUGAGCCUGACGGGAGGUCAUGAGCAGCACAUUUCAGAGGACAAGUUGAGCACUCCAGACAGCUCUCCUGAUUUACUGCAACCUUCAGACAUUCCAGCUCUGCUCCCCCUGCUCCUGGCUGGAAGGACAUCUCAGAAGUACAAGGGGAGGAGGAAGGGAGGAUUGGGCUGUGUUCACAUCUCUAGGAGACAACCCCCCACCACACCCGGGCCCUGCUGAUCAAAUUCCCCCAGCCCCAAGGACUCCGUGGCGCCAGUGGGGAAACCGCACUGCAGGCAGGUGGGGGAAACAAGAGGAGCCCAGAGGAGCCACCCCCAGCUCCACCUGCAGGGUAAAGUGAGCUGGCCACAGAAGGAGGCCCAGGAAGGAGUCCCCAGCUGCCUUGGGCUCCUCCCCCAGUCCGGCUGCAGCUGCCCUGCUCAAAAGCUGGGCUGUGCAGCCAGCGGGUGGCUGGUGGGGCAGGUGCGGGCGGGCGAGAAGUGUGGCUUUUCCUGAAACUCAAUUUUCUAAUCUUGCAGUGUAGCAGCGCAGGGCUUCAGCUUCCCUGGGCUCUCUAACAGUGGCUCCAGAUAGCUGUUAACUUAGGAAACUUCUAUAUAGGUGCUACAGUCCAGGGAUCUAAGAUUCAUCAGGAAACUAGAGUCUGCAUUGAAGAAAUGUCGAGUACUCUGCAUAUGAACACACACUUCAGGGUUGGGAGAAUCCUUCAGUGUCCUUCUAUCCCCAUCACCCUCUCCACAUCCCUCCCCACCCACACACAAAAAAAAAUAUGUUUUCCCAGGUUGUUGCCUUUUCUCUGAGAAGUCUCGCUGUGAACCCUAGGAGCCCAGUUCUAUUUUUGUUCCACUCUUAUAGAAUGCUAGGUUCAUGUCAGACUAUGGGCUGAAUCCUGGGAGGUGCAACCACAGAUCUGCUGCCAUCAUUGCUCUGGUAUUGGGGAUGAGACAAAUACAUUGUUUAAAAAAUCAUCAUGGGUCAGGUAUGGUGGCACACACCUGUCAUCCCAGCAGCUUGGAAAGCUGAGGCAGGAGGAUCGUGAGUUCAAAGCCAGCCAGCCUCAGAAAUUUAGAGAGGCCCUAAGCAACUUAGUGAGACCCUGUCCCCAAAGGGCUAGAGAUGGUGUGGUUUUUGCAGGGAUGAGAGGAGGAUGGUAAGGUGGAGGACAGCCAGUGGUAGGAGACUAGAAGGCCGGUUGGAUUGGGUGGAGCAGGGCCUCGUGCUCUCUGCUGAGGAGCACAAAUGCUAUUUGGGAGGCAGAGGAGUGGCAGAGAGCAAGAGGCAGACCUUGGUUGGAGGAAGUGAAUCUAGCCAAGGAGUAUAGAAUAGAUUCUGAAGGUAGAGAGGCUUCUUUCUAGAAAUAGCCUUGCUUAUUAGAAUGCCUGUUUCUCCUUCCCUUCCCUCCUAGUUGAUGGCACCUGCUCUCAGAGAUACUCUGUCACCCGGAAAUAUUUCAGGUAGCUGAGGCUUCAAGAGGGGGAGAGUUCAUAGUCCAAAGUCAAGGUUCUGGGUCCAGGACGUAUUUAUAUAACAGGGUACAUGGGCAAUGCUUCCCUGCUUCGGAUCUGUAAGAAAUGGUAGAGGUCUGCCUCCCAUACCCCGUUUGUUGUUGUUGUUGUUUUGUUUUAACAGAGAAGUGCAGAGCCACUUGCUCAGGGUCCCACAGCUGGUUAGUGACAGAGCCAGGGCUAGCAUUUCCCGUUGCAGACUCACUAACCCACUGCUAUUGUGGGCUGAGACUGGAGAACCGGUGGAGUUCAUCGCACCCUCAGUCUGUGAGUGGAAGGCAGGUUUGCCCUGGGGACACACGUCCAUAAGGAGAUGUCUCCAGCCUGGUGGAUUUCCUUCCCCACCCACAUCAGUGACAGCCCACACCCAGCUCUGUUUUCCUCUCCUCUCUUCCUUCUUGUUUCUGUGGGUGCUUUAGACGACUUCUUUUCUCCUGUUCCUCUGCCUUUUCUGCCCUUCUGAGUAUUUGGAGAUGCUCCCAGAGAAGGUGACAGCAAAGGCUUCCUAUGCCAGACGCAGUUGCUACCAGUUGGUACUUUUAAAAAUGAAAAAAGUUUCCAGCCUCUGUCUCAUAUGUGCACAGCUUAACACAAACCCAAACAGAAUGGGAGAGUUGUGGGGUGCCAAUCGGCAGCGCUUACCACCUGGAGCAGCCACACCACCCAGGGAGAUUCCAGACAGGAGGCAGGUGCCCAUCUGGGAUUGGUGACAAGCCAGGACAGGCAGGACAUCCCUCCACGUCAGAAGUGCAAGGGGCCAGAACAGCAUUGCCUGCCUGCCUUCCUCUGGAAGGCUCUUCAACCUGGUACCUGCCCUAGAGUUUCCUUCUUGUCUGCUAAACACCGUGCAGCCGAGGGAAGGACUAUGGUUGUGACAGUCUGUGAGGACAGAUGGUGACUCAGGAGUCACCUCAGCCUGUGCCAGGCUCCCUUAGCCUCCAGGAGCUGUCUGUCCUCCUCCAGAGAGCACCUGCUGCCCACGGGGAGAGACCAGGUGAGCCCAAAAGGUGAGGCAUAGGGCUGCUCAUGUGUGUCCAGCCUGUGGAGGAAUUUGAGACUAGAGAGUGGAAAAAACAUGGUGUUGGGAAUCGGAUAGACCAGCGUUCAGAUCCUGCUCUCCUACCUGUUGAAAGUGUGGUAUUGGGCAAGUUACUUGCCUCUGUGAGCCUGUUUUCUCAUCUCUAACAUGUAUUGUGUCUUAUAUAGAACUUUUAUGGAAAUCUCAUGAGCCAAUAUAAAGCAAAAUCACAUGAAACAUGGUAGUAGCUCAAUUUAUGUCGGCACCCACCCCCAUACAGCCUUCCCACCAGUUCCAAAGGGAGGAGACUGGACCCGAGGCUGCCUGGCCUGAGCAGGAGAUUGUAUACCCUUGGAGCCAGGAAGGGACAAAUUGGGUCAGGCAGUGCCACCAGUGCCUACCACCUUGUCAUCUGCGUACUCUGGCAAAGGGAGACUGUUUUAACUAAAAACAGCAUGGAAGGGAAUCACUUCCACCUUUGCCUGUCUGGAUCUGCAAAUUCGUUAAAUUGACAUCAUGCAUGUAUGAUGUCAACCUGACUAAAUCAAAAUAGACUAAAAGCCCAUGAAACUACGUAGGCAGAUGAGUGUUACAUCAUCGAAUGUGCCAAGGUGGGGGCCCAGCACUGAAAGGAGAUCUCUUGCUCAGAUUGGCUUGUGCCAAAUGUGCAUGCAGGAGGGGAGGAGAGAGGGACAGGGUAAGGCUGUCCUAGCCAGCUGGGCUUCCCUUCACCCUCAGGGAUGACCUGGCUGCUGCUGAACAGACUUCAGGAGAUGCAGAGUCCUCCCCAGGUUGAACCACUGAACAGAGGGGAGGUUACUCCUCUCCCCUUUCCUCCUUCUUCCUGCCUCCUCCUUCAUAGUCAAGGUCUUUUCCAGCUGAGUCAUUUUCGGGAUUAUGUCACACCUAAGAACAGAAAAGGGGGAGAAAGAAAAACAAAUAAAAUGAAACCUCUCGGUUCCUUCUAAAGGUCUCUGUUGCACAGAUGUGAGAGGGCCCAGGUCUGGCUGGGUCUCACAUAGGAAAAUGCAAAAGCCAUGUUAAGGAGUCUGAUUCUGCACUGGGAAAUGGGAGACACACUUAUGCUUAAAUGGCACUGAACAAAAUGGUACGGGGAGCAGCCAGGGUGGGCCAAGGAGAAGUUGCUUCUGUUGAGGACACAUGUUUUCCCACAGGGAGUGGCAGGCAGAUGUUUCCUGCACCUUACAGGAGGGCUCCAAAUUGGCUUCCUUCUCUUUACCUCCCCACACCAGUGGAUUUCCAGUAUGAAGAACAUUUCCCUGCUAAUGGUGUGGCCCAGAGAGUUGAGGAACACAGCUAAUAGGUAUCCAAUCUGAUGCUCUGAGUUAGAACUGCCUCUUUUAAGCGCAGCAUCUGCACUGCUCUGACAUGCUGGGGAGACGGCAGUGUCUGCCCACAGGGGGCUCACGUGGCUGGUGGGAACGUUAGGGGAGGGGUUGCUGCCAUACCUGUGCCAGCGCAGUUGCACAGCCACCCAAUUCUAGGAUUAAAAGUGACUUAAGAGGUCUUCAAGAGCUGCCCAGAAACAAAGGAAGCCCGCGUGUCCCCCAGGCAUUCUCAGCCCCACCCCUUAAAUUAUGCAGUGGUGCAAACCUCCCACGUGUGAGAUUGAGGCUCCAGUUCAAAGGGCUGCCCUCUGCGUGGUCCUGGACGGCUAUUAAACUCCCACCUGACCUUCCUUGCUGCAGAGAUUUAGAAGCUGACAAGAGACUGCAAACUUGUUAAAGAAGGACAGGGCAGGUUGGAGGACAGGGCAGGUUGGAAUUAGGCCUCACUGUCUUUGGCAUAAAAUGCCUUCGGGAAAGCCUGCCAAGAAAUUAGGGUGCUACCCUGAGGUCCCUGCCUAAGAUGUUUCCACCUAAAAGGGACCAAAAGAAGUGCAUUCCAAGACAGGAGACAUGGAGAGAGGGCAACCCAGCCCAUAGCCUCUCUCCUUCCCCUCCUUUUCCUUCCUUUUUUGCCAGCAAUUGUAAACCAUGUUCUAUUGCCUGACCCCAGAGCCGCUUAGGGAUGAGGGACCAAGAGGCAGGUGAGGAUCUUCUGGGAGCUGCCAAUUGUGGAUCUGAUUUAAUUAUAGUGCAGGUCCCUGGGCCUUGUCCAGACCUGUGCUUCCCAGGCAGCCAGGACAGGAGUGUACAGAGACAGAGUGACAGGGGCACUACAGUGAUCAACCAUCUGUCUGCUUGAGCCCCUUCGACCUGAGAAGGGCUUUCAGGAGCUCAGUCUUUGCAGGCAAAUCUAUUUCUACGCUGCGUGAUAGACAAGUGCGUCCCAGAGCUAGAAUCUCAUUUCCAACGGUGGCGACUGCAGGGUUCUGUUGUCAGAAGGCCACAGGGUGUCUGUCCGGUGUGUUCCAGACCUGGUCAAGACCCAGUAUGGCCUGCUGCAAGCCAGCCCCUGAGCUUGUUCUUGCUCUCUCUUCCUGGUCCACUGUAGAAGUGAGAUGAGACUCUGGAUCCCUCCACGGUCUCCUCCUCCUCACUUCCAGCUCAGGACUCAGGUGAAAAGCACACCCCACAGAUGCCCAGGUUGCGGCUUCCUCCAGAAAGUGGCAGAAUUUGAGCUGAAUCAUGGAGACCUCUUCCUAGAGGCCACCCCCUUGCAUGCUGCAGCCUGAGAGGAUGUUUGGGCACAGACCCAUCCAAAAAGUCCCUGGGGAAAGAUGGAUGCCCCUGAUCUCAUCCACAUCUGGGGCUAGGCCACGGUCACCCAGCCAGGAUUUAGGACAGAGCUGAAGGAAAAGAAGACACGGCUUCAACCCAAAACCCUCCAGCUCCCAAACCCUGUGUGGCACCAUGGCAGGAGCGUGCUUUCUCAAUAUAUAUGGAGGCUUCCAGUUGCUCUCCAGGUGAGCGCUUCCUGUGUGGGCGUGCUCUAUGCUGGGCCCUGGGGACACCACAGUGAAUCAGACAGCCAGCACUCUGUCCUCAGGGAGUUUAUCAUCUGUUGAAUAGAUCAGUGAUUUUGAGGAAAUUUAAGAGCAAUUCUUCCAAAUAACUGAUCCUACUCUUUUAUACUAAAAUGCUUUUGAUAUUAUCUUUUUUUUUUCAGUCUAAUCUUUAAAGUCCCCAAAGGGAAAUAUUCUCCAAUGGAAAUGUACUCAGUUCUUUAGAUCACAAAAGACAAGAAAUAAAGCCCAGGGCCCUGUACACCUGUGGGGAAAAAAAAAUAUAUCAAGACUUUGUCCCAGCAAUCCUGCUAAAUCUUGAGUUACCAAGACACAUAUGUUAAAAGAAAAAAAAGCCAUAAUUUGAGAUCUUAAUUAUAUCCCAGUUCUUUUACUAAUAAAAUUUCACUUAGUACUUCCAAAAUCUCUGAAGGAAGGACUUCUCUUAGCUCCAAUUUAUGGACAAGGAAAUGGAAUCCUGGAGAGGUGGCAGCAGUGUCCUAGAUUAAGGGAGAAGCGGAUUACAGGAGAUUACAACCUCCAGAGUGGAUGGGGGAGGGGAGGGGAGGGCAGGGCUGGGGGGCAGGUUUAGGGUGAAGUCUGGAGGAAUGCGGGGAGAGGGGAGGGGGCAGAGCAGAUCACCCGCCAGGCUGGGUUCUGCACUGAGUGGACAGCCAGGUGCCUGAUGCCCCUGUGCACACACCUGCCCCAGAGCUGUUGACCGGGAAGCACAGGCUUCACAAGGCAAGCCCUGCCACCGGCUAGGUGUAAAGCCCAAGGCCAUGCCAGGCAUGGUGGCUCAUGCUCCAAUCCCAGGGCUCUGGUGGCUGAGGGAAGAGGAUCACAAGUUUGAGAACAGCCUGGGCAAAUUGGCAAGACCAAAAUCAAAAAAAAUAAAAAAUAAAAAAAGAUUGGGGAUGUAGCUCAGUGGCAAAGUGUCCCUGGAUUUAAUCCCCAAUGUACAAUACCCCAAGGCCUCCCUUCCUACAGCUGUCAGAUGGGGCAAUACCAGUGCCCAGCCCUGCACCGAGUUCAUGCCACGUGCACAGAACCUGGGGAAAAGCAGCCUCAGACGAAGUCCUGCCUCUCGAAUGACAUCUGAGGGACUUGCUCCGCUGCUCUAGCUGGGGCAUGGCCUCUGGCCAGGGCUGAUGGGGAAGGGAGACAGCAGUGACCCCCUUUCCUGAGCUGUGGGAGGUUGCCCAUCAGCCCUUUCAGAGAAGGAUCCUGACAAUAUCCAGGUCCCGGUUCUCUAGAAGGCGGUGAUGUAAGAAUCCCCCAGCGACGCGGCGCUCCUCUUCUGACGUUCCUUCGUCGGGACGAGUCGACUCGUCGGUCGGGGGUGUCGGUCGAAGGGAAAGAGAAACGAAACCCUUCCUCGAACGAUCCGACACCUAACUCCACCUCCUCGGCCCUGGGUCUCGGGACCUCGUCGUUCUCUGCCUCGUCAGUGACUCAACUAUGGUGUCGACCCUAGGCGGGGUGGGAACACCUCCUGGGGGUAGGGGGAACCACCAUCGGAGUCCCCUCUUCCUUGGUCCCACAGUAAGUAAGAAGGGGUAGACGUGGUGCAAGACCCUUGUCCCGACUUUGGUGUGACGGUAGGGACGGGACUUCUACCGUGUCGGACGAGGUCCAUCUCUCCGUCUAGUUCUCGGCCGGACGACCCCGCACCACGCCCGAUCCCCGAAUGGGUCGUGUAGUCUCAGGUCCCAAGGAGGCAACGUCGGGUCGCCCUUUUUCAGUUUCGUUUGAGUACUUGGAAGAAACAUCGGGGCUUCCUUUCCACCCAUGUUGCCUCUCUUCUUCCCAUCCACCCGCUCCAGACUCCAAAACGAAGACCGGAACGUGAGGCCGACUUGUAGACGACUCGACACCACAGGUCGAGACACGAUUGUCGUUUCUGUCUUUAAUACGGGGGACGGAAAUUCCCGAGGUUCGAGGUCACUCUUCGGCUCGGGGUACUUUCUCCCUUGUCCAGAUAUCUGUCUUUAGUCCUCUUAUUACACUUAGGACCGAGGUGAGAGUGAGGUACACUACGAGCUACGCGAAGGACAGGAGGGUCUCGGAGGAAAGGAGGAAUCCUUUAGCUUGUUUCUUAGGGGAACACUCUUAAAUUUUAACCAAAUUUUUAAAUUCUACACGACCCGUGUCCCCACGUACUGACACUAGGGUCUCAGAGUCCUCCGACUCCGUCCUCCUAGCGUUCAACGUCUGGUAGGAGCCGUUGAAUAGUUCUGGAACAGAAUUUUACUUUUCACUUUACCCGACACCUACACCGAGUCACCAUCUCGUUGGGACCCAAGUUAGGGAUCAUAGUUUUUUUUUUUUUUUUUCAUGACUUCAUAACACAUGUAUGUCUUUACACGUGUUUAGUACCUACUGUUUAGAGGUCUUAAAAGCAUAUUUAUCUUGGGUACGAUUCUCUACCUCGAAAUUGUCGUGGGUUUUCAGGGAGAGGAAAGAAGGGGUAGUGAUGGGGAGGGGAAAGACCGUGGUAUUAAAAAUUGAGGAAAUUUUUAAUUUGAAGAAUUACCUUAUUGUAACAUACGACGAAACUCUCCAGGCACGGCACCACACAUCGUCAACAAGGAACAAGAGUGACAAGGUGUUGUAAGUUACCGGGUCCAUUGAAUAGGAUCGUAGUCUUCCGUAAAUCCAAAGGUCUUCCGUAAUCCAAAGGGUACAACCCUGUGAACGUGUGUUACGACGGCCCAGAAAAUCGUUUGUGUGUACAGGUAAAGGUGGUUCCCGUACAUCCUCACCUUAACGACCCAGUGCGUACAUGCACAAGUUCAGCUUGAACAGACUGCAUCAGCGUUUUUCCCGUGCAGCUGAGGUGUCCACACUCCAGCCAGCAGCAGACGGAGUUUCACUGGCUUUCUAAACUCCCCAACCCUUGGUAUAUCAGGCCUGUUUGUUUGACCAUUCUCGUGGUUAGCUAAGAGUAUUUCACUAUGAUCUUAAUUUAUAUUUUCCUGAUGACUAAUCAUGGUCAGCACCUUUGAAUACCUUUUCAACCAUUUGUACAUCCUAUUUUAUGGAAUGCUUAUUCAAAUAUUUUGCCCAUUUUGAAUUUGGUUUCUGUGUAUUUUUUUUUUGAGAUUUACAAGCACUUUUUUUCAUGUCCUGAUAGGAAUAUAUUAUCAUAUAUACAUCGUGUAAAUACUGUGCUUUUUAAUAUAUAAGUUGCUGGGAUUUUUGUUGUGAUUGUAUUGACCCUAUAAAAAUAUGGAAAGAAUUAAAAUGUUUAUAAUAUCAAGUCUUUUGAUCCAUGAACCUGACAUAUCUCAGCAUUCAUUUGGAUUUUCUUAUGUAUGACAAUGAUAAUUCACAGUUUUCAGUGUAGAUGUCCUAUGUAAGUUCGUACUCAUUCCCAAGCAUACACAUUUUGUAGAUGGUAUGUUCUUUACAAUCUCUAUUUAUUUAUUGCUAGUAUAUAAAAUGACAAUUGCUUUUGUAGAAUGAUCUGGUGUCCAGACUUUACUGAGUUUAUUGUGAGGAUUAAGUAAGAUAAUGGGUAAGUGCCAGGUACAUAGGGGGCUUAAUGACUCUUAUCAGUGCACUAAAGAGCUGAGGCUGGUCAGGGGCAGGACAAAUACUUUGGGGUGUGGUGAUGAAGGAGGGCCGCAGCCUCAGGGGGAUGGUGAGCUGGUGAGGGCAGGAUUCGGUGGCCAAUAAGUAGAAGAGAAAAUGUGAAGGAAACAGUGUGAGAACAGAAAGAAAACUGUCCUGACUGAGCCUCAGAGAUUGGAGUCGUGAAUGAACUGGGAUACAACACUGUCCUUUAUAGUUUGUAAAGUCCUUUUCCAUUCACUGUGUCACUGAUCCUCAUUGAUGCCUAUGGGGUCACCCCAUGUGAGGUCUUUAUGUCCUUUUCAGAGAUAAAGGAAAGGGGCUCAGGGCUCAGGGGCUCAAAGAAAGGAGCUCAAGAGAUUUGGUCAAGGUCUGCCCCAGGGAAAUAAGUGGGAAGAGAACUUUCAGGAACAACUUUUUGAUUCGUGACUUAAUGGAUUUCUUUUAUUUAUUUAUAUAUUUUUUGGGGGGGAGGUUGUCUUUUUUUUUUCUUUUUUGGUACCAGGGAUUGAACCCAGGAUUGCUUACCCACUGAGCCACAUUCCCAGCCCUUUAUAAUGUAACAGGGUCUUGCUGAGUUGCUCAGGGCCUCCUUAAGUUGCUGAGGGUGGGUUUGAGCCUAUGAUCCUCCUGUUUCAGCCUCCCAGUUCACUGGGAUUACAGGCAUGCACCACUGUGCCGAACUUAAUGGAAGGGUUUUCUAAGAGAACAAGAUAGUAGCAUGGUUCUUGAUGAGACAUGUCACGGAGCAGUGAGACAUGGGGCAGAUGAGUACUGAAAUCUGCACUGGGACACCCUUAUGCAGAAUGGCUGGAGGCAGGAGAGGCCAGCAGGCCCUCUGGAGGCUGUCAUUACACACUGAGCAUCUGAUGAUGCAGGCCUUGGGAUGGGGAGAACAGACGUGGAUAUGAGCCAACAAGAAGGAGAACCACAGAAUAUGGCCAGGGACCUGGGCCAGGUCCACACACCCCAUGUGUGGCACAACAUAAGGCGGUGAACUUCAGGCUUUUGGUUCUCUGUUAAAAAAAAAAAAAAGACUGGGUGUGUGGCUCAGUGGUAGAACACUUGCCUAGCCUGUGCGAGGCCCUGGGUUCAAUCCCCUGCACCACACAUACACACAAAGUGAAAUGUGAAUGCCUUCUACCCCUUGCAACUAAUCUCAUGGUUUAAACAAAACAAAUUCCUUCCCCCUCAUCUGCUGCUCUGUUGGACCCUCUCUCUCAGCUCAGGGCUGCAGGUCCCAGCUCCUGCCACACAAUGACCUCGUGAAUCUUCAAAAGGGCAGCCCCACUCUGCCUCCCAGAGACAGCCUGCCCUGAUCUGUGUCCGCCCUGCAGCUCUGCCUUUUCAAAUGCCUCCUGGCUUUACCCCCUUGGCAUGAGGCUGCACCUGGUGUGGGCCAGGUUCAGCCUCACCAGCUGUCCUUAUACCAACUGUCCUUGCUUCCUUCUCAAAGUGUGUUUGGUCCCUGAUCCCACAGGAGCCUCUCCAAGUGUCUGUACUGGAAGGAGAAGGUACACUGCCACCCAUGGGCAGAUGAUAAAGGGACCCCUCACCCCCCACCCGAGAAUGACUUAUUCAAGACCACACAGACAGCUGAAGCCCAGCAGGGCAAGGCCAAGACACCACAUCUCGAGUUCAUUGUCAUUGCUACUCCAAGAGGGGUUGGGGCCUCUGUGGCUUGGGCAACCCUGAAAGUCCUUACACAGUUGGCCCUCCAUAUCUGCGGGUUCCACAUUCAUGGGCACAGCCAAUCACAGAUUGGAGAUGGUUUUUGAGGGGAAAAAAAUUAAUUGGGUCUGUACUGACAGUGAACAGACUUUUUUCUCAUCAUUAUUCCUCAAACAAGAGAGUAUAGCCACUAUUUACAUGGCAUUUCCAUCAAAUUGGGCACGAUUUAAAUAUAGGAAGGAUGUGUCUAGGUUAUAAGCCAAUAUACCACUUUCAUAGAAGGGACUUUUAUAGAGUAUCUGCAGGUCUUAGAAUCCAAGGGGACUCACGGAACCAAUCCCUGCUGAUACCCAGGGACUGAGUAUUCAAUUGGUUUUUAUCUAACAGCAAGUCAGCCAUUGACUUGAGUUUCCAUUGAUCCUAGGCUGGAAGAAUGUCCAGAGGAUUCUCUCUUUUCUUUCCUCUGCCUCUGCUGUCCACUAGAGAAGCCAGACCCUGGGCAGGCAAGAUGUCACAGCUACUCAGGCCCGAUGUGCAGUGACGGGGCUGGGCAGGCAGUUUGUCCUCUGUGGCCUAGAGUUGCAGCCUGCAGACCUUCCCCUCUGUGCCCCAGCCACGCCAACAUCUCUGCAGCCUCUCCUCACUCUGUCCUGCCAGUUUGAACUACUAGUCUGCAUGAGCCAUGCCCUCAUCCUUAAUGGGCCUUAUGUCCCCUAGACACCAGGCAGAGAGGGGAAAUUGAAGAAACCACUGUCUACUUGGAAAUGGCUCUCCAUGUGAGCGCCGAAACCGCAUCCCUCUCUGGGCCUCCAGCUAUGCCUCAGUCUGUUCAGGCUGCUAUAAAAAGACAGCAGCACAGACUGCAGACAGCAGAAGGCUUUUUUCUCUCAAUUCUGAGGGCUGAGAAGUCUAAGAUCAAGGAGCUGGCAGGUUCAUUGUCUGGUGAGGCCCAGUUUCUGGCUCAUAGAGGAUAUCUUCUUGCAGGGUUCCCACAUGGUGGAAGGGACAAUUUCUCUCUCUGGGUCUUUUCUAGGGAUAUUGAUCCCAUUCAUGAGGAGUCCAUCUUCAUGACUGCCUCACUUCCCAAAGGCCUCAGUCACAUUGGUGAUUAAUUUCCAAUAUGGGAAUUUGGAGAGAAUUUAAAAAAUCAGAGCUUAGCAAGCUACAACCCCCUUUUUCCCAUCACACAGACCCAAGCACUUCCAAGCGUCCACGAGUUGUCUCCUGUUUUUCACCCCUAAGACCAUCAAAAACACUUGGACAGGUCACUGGGCUCAGAUACCUCCCUGAGAGCUCUUGUCCAGGGAUUGUCACACUUCAAUCCACUCCAAACCCCCAGAGAUUUUCUAUGGCCAGUGAUAAUAGAAAGGAAACAGCCAUAUCUUACUUAAAAUGUCAAAUGGGACCAACAGUUAUUGAGCACCUGCUGUAUGCUAGAUGCUAUGCAACACAUUACAUAUGCUCUCAUAUCAUCUAACCUUUAGAAACUCCCCAAGGUAUAUAUAUCAACAGUUUCUGAUCAGGGAAGAUUUUGCUCCCCAGAGAAUAUUUGGCAAUGUCUAGAGACAUUUUUAAAUGUCACAAUUGGCAGAGAGAGAGAGCUGGGAGAGUAGGUACAGCUGUCCUCUAGUGUGUAGAGACCAGGGAUGCUGUCAAACUGCCUACCAUAUAGAGGACAGCCAAGAAGUACAGAUAUGCCUUGUUUAGUGAUGGGAACAUGUGGUGAAAAGCAUGUCUUGAAGUGAUUUUGUCAUGGUGCAAACAUCAUCUAGUGAACUUACCCAAACCUAAAUGGCACAGGUCAGUGUCUCUGUGUGGCCUCUUGCUGUCAUCAAGAGACACAAACACAAGAUGUGUGUGGCUGCCGCUGGCAGAACAGCAUGCUAUUUUAUUCUAAACUUGUUUUUAAUAAGUGAAUCAAUAUGCUCUAAAACAAUGAUCAAAAGUAUGAUAAAUACCUGUACCUCUAAAGUACUUGUUUGUUACCAAGUUUCAAGUGUAUUUAUCUCUAUGUGCUCAAUUUUCAUAUGACUGACAGCACAGUAGGUUUGUUGGGAUCAGUAUCACUACGAAUAAUAAUGUUACAUUACACAUCAUUAUGACAUCACUAGGUGACAAGAAUCUUUUGGCUCCAUAUCAUCUUAUGGGACACAAUAGUGGUCCCAUAUACUUAGGCAUAUACACUAUCUAUAGUGUAUAUGUGGUCCAUUGUUGACCCACAUAUUUUGUGGUGCAUGACUGUAGCUAACCCAAUUUGUCAGUCCUGCCUAGGCAGAGAAACCUAACUGCAACUUACAAAUGCAAAAAGAAUAAUUGUAAUUCAAAACCACUAAGUAAUGUCCUGAAAGCUCUCUGUCUAGGCAGAGCUCAGCUGCAACCCACUUCUGUCUGAUCCCAGACUCUCAGCUGUUCUGAUUACAAAAUUCUCCUGUUGAGGAGCAACUGCCCUUUAGGCCAUAUCUAUUCUGGAAAGAACAGAUUCCAUCGUUUCUCACUAAGCAGGCAAACAUCAGCCUGAAUUUGUGGGCCCUGGAGCCAGGCAAGCCUGGGAGCAGCUGUUGAAGUGCAAACCUUUCCCACCAGGUGCUCGGGACAGCUACAAGCCCUGCCCCUUCCUGCCCCAAAUUUGAAAUCUCCUCUGAGCAAUUAAGAUAGACUCACAUGAAUGGGGCCUUAUAAGUGCCAGUGGGGUAUUGCUAAGAAGCCUGUGGUCAUGGGGUCAUAGGCCUCAGGAUGACCAGGGAAGCCUGCUUGAGUGAGGGGGGAGGUUAGAGCAGACCUUGCAGGGCCUGGUGGUGGGACUUCAGCUCUCAGGGCAGAUGUUCAGGUCCCAAGGUCAGGGAGAAGCCAGCCUUGUUCUGGGGGCCUGGAGGUGGCCAGGGGCUACCCUCUGGCAUUAUCGUAUCAUGAUAGCCCCAUUCUCCCGUGGCUGUUUACUCUCUGAUCUCUUAUUUCAUGGUCUUCCUUUUGCUCUGCUUACUCUUGUGACUUUCCCAACGACCAUCUCAUCAACCAUCACCUUAAAAAAUAUUGAAAAGACCCUGUUCCUAUAAGCUGCUCUGGGAGAACACCCGUUCUUCCCACCAUUGUGAUCGUGCAGCCCCUGAAGCAGUGAUUUGAAAGAAUAUAGAAGCAAUGUGUGUGCGAGCUGAAGGUCCUGCCGCAGAGCUGGCUGGUUGAGCAGGAUUCACUGGAAGAUAAUUCUGGGAGGUGCUAGAGAGCCUGGAGUGCCAAGCCGAAAGUGGGGUGCAUCUCCAAAACUGGCUGGUUCUGGGAUGGAGGGGAGGGGAAGAAGCUCUAUCUGUUGCUGACAGCCCUUUAGAGAAGGGAGCUGCCAGGAGGGCCCCAGCAUUCUGCUCCACAGCAUCCACCAAAGUCUCCUGGUUCUUCUUAGUGCCCCAGACUCCCCAGCUACUAGAAGGGAGGGCAGUUCCGCACUCAGGCGGUGCUGCCCUUUAUUCCAAGUGUCCUCACUGCUAAUGGGGCACGGGGUCUGAACACAUGGCGCACGCGCCUCUGUGCAUGUGGCAGCAGGAGGAAUUAUCCCAUGAAUGUCAAUGAAUGGGCAGGGACAAUGAGGUACAGUGAAUGAGGAGUUGCAAGGGGGCCUUUCAUGAGGACGCAAUGACAAGCGAGCUCCCAGCCAGGGGGACACUCACUACCCACAUACAGAAAGUCCCAGAGGGCUUUCCGCCUGAUGGAACAGGGCUGCACUGGGACUGAAGUCCCUCCAAUUAGCGCUAUUACUGGGCAGAGGACAGGAGGAGGAGGGGUGCUCGCUUCCUGGGGGAUGCUCUAAGGCCAGGGUCAGUUCUUCCAAAGAAAGGCCUGAGAACGGGAGGGAAACCAGUCUUUCCUCUGAUGGAACUUGCAGGGGCUGGGGGCAGGGCCUGAGCAAAUCAGAGCACUUUCCUCUCCCCAGGAUGUCAAAGGGCUGCGUCAAUGCUUCUCUAUCAGUCAGUGGCAUUUCUGCUUCUUGGGACAGAAUCUGAACGUGGAGAAGGAAAUUGUGAGGUAACCGCAGCAGUAGCUGAGGCAAUGAGCUACAUACCUGCCAUGUUUAAAUUUUCUUCACAGCAACCCCCUAACAUUUCUUCUUCCAAUCCCUUUGAGCCUUCCUGGCUUCUCCUCUCUUCCUUGUAUAUUUCAGCUGGGUAUGUAGUGACAUGGCAAUCAGCAUUUAGUCUUGGAGAAGCCCAUAGAUGGAUAAUGGAUAAGGAACAGGCUAUUAAAAAAUGGGAUAAGGGCUGGGGAUGUGGCUCAAGCGGUAGCAUGCUCGCCUGGCAUGCGCCGGGCUCUGGGUUCGAUCCUCAGCACCACAAAAAAAUAAAAUAAAGAUGUUGUGUCCACCGAAAACUAAAUAAAUAAAUAAAUAAAUAUUAAAAAUUCUCUCUUUCUCUUUAAAAAUUAAAAUUAAAAAAUUAAAAAUGGGAUAAGAUCGGCUAGGUGCAGUGGUGCAGGCCUGUAAUCCAGCAACUUGGGAGGCUGAGGCAGGAGGAUCUCAAGUUCAAAUCCAGCCUCAGCAACUUGUCUAGGCCCUUCUAGUAGCUGGAGUCUGUUGCACUAAGGUUAUUUCAAGAAAUACUGGCCCUAAGCAAGACCCUGCCUCUAAGUAUAUUUAAAAAAAAAAGGGAUCAGAUCAGUGCUAUGAAAGUUUCAAGCCCCCUUUUGAGAAACAUCAGACAAAAAAGCAAGGAAAACAUGGGAAGUCUUCCCAGAGGAAGCAAUAUUGCCCUGGACCUGGAGGAGCACAUUUUACGGGCUGGAGGCUGACACCACGGGGGCAAGGUGUGAAAAAUUCUUGGUUGAAGCCACAGCCCGAGCAAGGAUAUGGAAUAUGAAGGAAAGGAGAAGGACCAGAAAGAGCUGGGAAGAAGGGCAGGGAGGGUCCUGGGUGAACCGGGAGAAUGAAGAGAGGAGAGAUGAGGAGAGCCAUGUGGCAGGAAGUCCACUCAUUCAUUCUUUGGUCCAUUCAAUGGACACUUUACUGAGCUCCAACUCUGUGCCAGGCGCCUGCUAAAUGAUGCAAAGGUGCAGAAGUCCGCGGAGCUCGCAGCUGAUGGGCUAUUUCCACACACGUCUGCUGCUCCGGCUUCCCUCCAGUACCAGAAUUCCCAGACUCUGCACCAAGCCAGAGUUGGCAGUAGAUGUGGACAGCCCCACUGGGAAGUAGCCAGGAUGCUGACAAAUCCUGGUGUUUUAGAUCCUGUACCAGAUUCUUGGCUCUGUGAUGGUGGAGACAGAGAAAAGGGUGCUCUGAGGACAUUUUCUGGGGUGCUGGGAUUUUUCCAGUGCUUGACCCUUCUCCCUCCAACUCUUAGAGUAACCUCUGGAUUGAAAAUACCCAGUAAAGGCCCAGUUCUUGAGCCACUGUUCUCUGGCUCGUCCUGUUAAAAUGUAUCCUGGCCUUAUGUGCUUGCACUCACUCCAUCCUGAUGUCCAGUCUUGAGAGCAUCUGGAAAAGUCACCUGCUCUUAAAAUGAAUCAAACAAAACAAACCUAUCCCAGGAUUAUCUUAUUUCUUGAUAACCUGAAGGCCUCUUACGGAUUUUCUUUCCUUCUUUUUGGAGGUGGUGGGAAUGGGGCCGUGGGAAGGUGGCCACUAGCUGUAUAGAUUCCUCUUCCCAUUGUGACAUGUUCCAGUCCCCGAAAGCUGCCUUCAUUUCUGCAGGCUGCGUGAUUUCUUCCACCCAUCUUAGGGUGCCCUCCACCCCACACUUCCUGGCUCCCAAGCCCAGAAUCCCAGUCCUUAAUGGCAGUUCAGCCCGGCGGCCAGCAUGUGAUGUCCACACAAAGGAAUCGGAUGUCCUUGCCCAGCAACAGUGAGCUCCUCGCCGGCAGUGCCCAUGCAGACUCUGGGGCUUGCACCCCUACUUUGGCUGUGCACCCUCAUCCUCCUCUCCCUGCUCCCUCCCUCUUCAGUCACUCCAUUUACAUUACCCCCACUGACCUCAUAGGCCUCGUCCCCCUGCCUCCCUACUCUCCCCUCUCUGGGGCCUUGCAGUGAGGCUUCUGGGUGGCACAGGGGCAGUGCGGCUGGGGCCAUGGGGUAUGCACAUUCCUCCCUCCUGCCCUCCCUACACAGUACUCUUUGUUUCCCUCCAGUGUCCCCCAGGAACCCAGAUCACACCCUCUGAGAUACACACAGGGCCACUACAUCUUUGUUUUUGAUCCUAUCACUCCAGGGAGCCUUUUAGUCAGGGGUCAAGGGUCAGGUCAAGGGGUCACUGGGGACUAAUUUAAUUUUCUUUUGAACAAAUCCCAGCCUCUGGCCUAGGUAGGGCCACCACCUCAUCCCAGAUUUCCUGGGUCUUUUUCUCUUAUUCAGUUCUGAAGUCUCACAUUCCAGGAAUUCCCACAGUCCCCAGCAAACAGUGGGUUGCCCAAGUUCUCUUCACAAAAUGGUACUUGGAGUACAGAAAAACUCACACCCACAGGCCCACCACUCCAGUGCCCUCCACACACCUUCACCCCAGCAGGUCCACAAGGAAGGUCUAACAUGGGUCUGCACACUCCUGGACGCCCCAGCCCCGGCCAGACACUCAGAGGAGCAUGCCACCAAGGCCUGGUGCUGACAGAGAAGUCUUCUCUGUCACAUGCUGAGGUAGAGCCUGUCCUAGCUGUGCUGGGGCUCCCCAGGGUAUUCCAAGGUACCCAAGGGUGGGAUCAGGGAUGAGAGGUUGACAAACCCCUGCUGUGUAGAGUGUUGUGGUGCUGUAGUUAGGGCAGGUAGUUCAUAGAAACCGUGUAGCAUAAGACAGAAUGAUUUUUUUAUUAAUUCAUUUAUUUUAAUUAGGUAUAUAAAGCAGCAGAAUGCAUUUUGAUUCAUUGUACACAAUUGCAGCACAACUUUUCACUUCUCUGGUUGUACCUGAUGUAGCGUCACACCAUAUGUGCAGUCACACAUGUACCUAGGGUAAUGAUGUCCCACUCCUUCCACCAUCUUUCCUGCCCCCAUGGACCCUCCCUCCUCUUUGCCCCAUCAAAGUUCCUCCAUUUUCCCCAUACCUCCCCUGUCCCCAUUAUGGAUCAGCAUCCAUAUAUCGGAGAGAAUAUUUGGCCUUUGGCUUUUGGGGAUUGGCUUAUUUAGCUUAGCAUGAUAUUCUCCAGCUCCAUCUGUUUGUCUUCAAAUGCCAUAAUUUUAUUCUCUUUUAAUGCUGAGUAAUAUUCCAUUGUAUAUAUGUAACACAGAUUAUUUAUCCAUUCAUCUAUUGGAGGACAUCUAAGUUGGUUUCACAGUUUAGCUAUUGUGAAUUGAGCUGCUAUAAACAUUGAUGUGGCUGUGUCCCUGUAAUAUGCUGUUUUUAAGUCCCUGGAGUAUAGACCUAGGAGUGGGAUAGCAGGGUCAAAUGGUGGUUCCAUUCCAAGUUUUCUAAGGAAUCUCCAUACUGCUUUGAUUAUUAAACACAUAUUUAUCCAUUCAGUCAAUAAACAGAUAAAGCCUUGGGCCAGGUACUGUGCUAAAGCUCAUGGUUGGGUAAAUCACAGUUUGAUGGUCCUUCAGGAAAAAGAUAGGAAGAAAGAGACUCUGGGUGGCAGUGUGAUUAAUGCUGACAUGUGAAUGAGCCCAGAAGCCUGCAGGGACACGGCGAGGCCUCCAGCUGGAAGUGCUGUCUGAGUCCUCCUGGGCUUCAGGUGUGGGAGUAGCAUAGAAAACCUGGGGAGAGGCGCAGGAGGAAAUGGGGGAUGUGCAGAGCUCUGGUCACCGAGAGGAGGGGCAGAGAGGGAGGGAAGCCUUGGUGUCAUAGGCCCUGACGGUUCAGCCAUCAAGUCCUGGUUGUGAAGGCUUUGAACUGGUUAGGAAACUUAGACUUUACUCUCUGAGCAACAGGGAAUCCUUGGGAGAACUUGGAAAAGAGUGAAGAGCAGUCCCACGAAUAUCCCCAGAGAAUAUGAUGGCAGUGGGGACUCGGCGGUGGGGGAGUUGGAGGGAAACAGUGGUUUUGAAGAAAAUCCGUAAUGAGACAGAAUUUGGUCAUGGGUCAGAGGUAGGGGUGAGGGCCUGGUCUCGGGGCUUCAGGCCUGGCUGGCAUUCUUGGGGUCAGGAUUCUGACUUGCUGCCUGGGAACCCAGGAGGAAGGGCACCUUGGGGGAAGAGGGGGGUGAUGUUUAAUCUUGGUUGUCAAUUUGACUGGAUUGAGAGACACCGAGAAAAUUGGUAAAGCCUACUUCUGACUAUUUUUGAGGGUGUUUCCAGAGACAAUUUGUGUGUGGAUCAGCAAACUGGAAAGGCCCUCCCUGAAUGAGACACACACACACACACACACACACACACACAUACACACACACUGUUGGUUCUGUUCCUCUGAAGAACCCUGACUAAUACAAUUGGUUAUGGCAAGAAAGAAAGAAUGACGAAUUCUGCCAGGCACGGUGGCAUCCACCUACAAUCCCAGCUUCUCAGGAGGCGGAGGCAGGAGGAUGGCAAGUUUAAGGCUAGCCUCUGUGACUGAAGGAAACCCUGUCUGGGGAGGAAAAAAAAAACAAAAAACUAAACACAGCUGCUGCAUAGCUCAGUGGUAGCAUGCUUGCCUAGCACAUGCAAAGCCCUGGGUUCCAAACCUAGUUGUGCAAAAAAAAAAAAGAAAAAGAAAAAGAAAUGGUGAAUCCUGUUGUGGACAUGCUGAGUUUGAGACGGGUUGGUGGCCCCACAUGAAGAGCAGUUGGAUGUUUGAACUCAGGAGCUCAGGAGCAGGCUGUGAGUUGCAGACUCAGACCUGAAGAUCAGCACCAUGUGGAGGAGGAGAAACCACAGGAAGGGCUUCAGCAGAACAGGAGCAGGGGCAGAGUCCACGAAGGAACUCUGAAGAGCAUCCACACUGAAGGGAUGAGAAAGGUAAAGCAGACAGGGAAACAGAGGCCGGGGGACCCAAGCUGUGUCAUGAAGCCAGGAAACUUUCAAAAUGGCUGGAAUGAAGAAAACAAAGGAUUUGCUGGGAUUGACGGGGAGGUCAAGUUGGAUAACUAGAGAUGCACCUCAACACAGGGUGGAGUUCCUCCCCAACAAGCCCAUCAUACGUUUACGAUGUUGAAGGUCAAGAAGGCAUUUAACGCUGGUGGUCUCCCUCUGCUAUGGUGGCUGCCUGGGAGGUGUGGCCUCCUGCCACUGCCCAGCAUCUCAGGAGAGUAUUGGACUUCAUGUAGCUAGGCUGGGAAAAGAUCAAAAUGCAAAAGGCAAACUAUGGUUUUUACUAAAUGUCGAUUACUUUGCACCAUCGUAAAGUCAAAAACUUGUAAAUUGAGCCACAGUUAAGUCAAACCAUUCUAAGUUGGGACCAUCUAGAUCGAAAAGAUCUAUUGGACUUCACAGCCCUGGAAACUAGUUCCAGUGAAAGAUAGUGACAGAAGCCAGGCUGCUAUGGAUUGAAGAGGGGGUGGGACAUGAGCAAGCAGCAAUGUGAGUAUAUAUAGCCUGUUCUCUCCAGAACCUUGGCCAUGAACAGGAAAGACAGUUCCUGGAGGGGAAAAUGGAGCUCAGAAGCUUGUGGGUUGCUUUUUAGGUUUUGGAUUUGGUUUUGGUUUUGCAGUGCUGGGGAUUGAACCCAGGGCCUUGUCCUUGGCCAGGUAAGUGUUCUAUCACUGAGCUACAUCGCCAGCCCCUCCUGUUGUUUGGAAUGGGGGCACUUGUACCUAUUAACCAGAAAGCAAGAACUUGAAGAACUUCAAGGAAGAGAACACAAAAUCCUUGGAGCAAACCCCCUGAGAAGGUUGGAGGUGAUGGGAGUCCUCCCACGCUAGAAGGAUUAGCCUGAUAAGAAGACAGACUUCUGUUUCAUGGUGACAGACACAAGGGAGCCAGAAAGCGCUUCAGUGGCAGGUUUAUGAGUUGAGGGAAUGAGAUGAAAUUCCGCGCAGCCACUCUCCCUGUCCCUGAAUUGCAAAGAUGAAGCCAUCUAUCUGCAGGGAGAGAGGCAGCACAGUGGGUGAGGCCUACGGAAUAGCAGAGGUUUGACACACAGGACUUGAGAAAGGCUAAAAGGAGCAGUGGAAGUAUCUGCUAGCUAGGAGAUCACAGUGCUUUUCCAUGCCCAUCAGGAUUUAGGGUCCAAGAGAAUUUACUGUCUGGUUGAUAGUGAACCAGACUAGGUGACUAAAUCCUGCAUAACUACAGGAAGUCUACAAAGCCUGAGAAACCAGCCAGGGCUGGAUCUGGAAGGGAGGAGGUGGACCCCAGAGGGGAGAAAGCUGCAGGAGUAAAGAUUCUGAGGAGGGAAAGGGCACAGCCCCCGAGGGUGGUCAGAGACACCAGCCAGUCAGGGUCUAGAAUCAGCCAGCCAGGAGGUCACACCAGAUGUUCAAUGCAACCUGAUAGCAAGCGUCCGUGACCUUGUAAACUGUGUGCAUUGGUUGGGAGGCAGGCAUAGUUGGUAUAGCUCAGAAUCGUGGGAGAUGAGGUUUGAAGAAAGACUGGGCUUCAAUUGUAUGGGACCUUAAGUGCCAAGCAAAAUAUGCCAUUUUUUUUCUUUUAUUUUUUUUUUAAUUAAUUUUAUUUUUUACAGAAAUGGAGCACAACUUCUCAUUUCUCUGGUUGUACAUGAUGUAGAGUCACACCAUACCCAUACAGAGGGAUAAUAAUGUCCAUCUCCUUCCACCAUCUUUCCCCCUAAAUUUGUCAUUUUCUAACAUGACUUUACACACCUUUAAGGGCAGACUCUGCUUGCUGCCACAUCUUUAGGGCUCUGAUGGUGACUGUGCAAAGUAAGAUAUUCAAUGAAUGCUUGGGAUAUUUUAUCAAUGCACAGAUGCUCCCAGAAGUUCACCCCUCCAGUGACAGAUUUCUCUACCAUCAGAACUACCGCUGGCAUAGGUCCUGGGAGGUGGCAACUGAGAGGUGGGGUACCCGCCCAUCAAUCCAAGCCACAACCCCAGCUGCCAUCUUUCCUGCCCCAUGACGAGGGUACAUGUGGGGAAGGAGGAACUCUGGCCUGUGAGUCAGAAGUCCUGGGUUCCAGAAUCAGCUCUGACAACUGUGGCCCCCUCUCAGAUGGAGCUUUUAAUACUUGCCCAGGGUUAUCAUGAGGAAAGAUGAGCUGAGGGCCCAGUGUGAAGGCACGUGGAGUUACAGCAGAGUCACUGUAGGUAAAGUACCUGGCCAAAGGCCCAUUUAGCUGGAGCUCCUGACGACCCAGUUGCUUCCUGGCUUCUUGAGUUGAAAGAGGGCUAAGAGGUUGUGGGGAGGGACCAGGGGCCAGGAGACACCCCACCUUCCUCCUACAUCUGUACCCCUGGCCUAGACCACAUGGGAGAAAUAUGGCUGAUCCAGGAUACACAUGGUGAAGUGACCUUACAUCCCAGCUUGUGCCUGUUGUCCUAGUGUAAUUAACACUAGCACCCCUUUCACUCUUAAAAGACAUCUAGAAGGAAGGAAGGAAGGAAGGAAGGAAGGAGGGAGGGAGGGAGGGAGGGAGGACACCUGGAUUGUAUAUAUCCCUAGUGAUCGCCAUGCUUCUGUGUUCCUGGAAAUCUUGUGCUGCAAAUCACUGGCCUUGGCUGAGUACAGACAGAAGCUGGUCUGUCUGGCACGUUGGCUCAGUACCGUGCUUCUGCGGCAUGUAUGUCUCUUUGGCCACGGUCACCCUCCAUUUCCAGUUCUAUUUCCACAGGCCUGUGCCCCCCCCGCCGCAGUCUGGCUGGGCACAAGUCACGAGCCACUGAAGCAGGAACAAACUUUAUUUUUAAACUGCAGGAAAACACUUCACACAGCUCCCAGGGAAUCCUCCCUAACGCCACGAGGCUUGUCCAGGAACCCCCAGCCGGAAAUAUCUCUCCCGGAAAUCCUUCCUCCUGCACUUCCCCAACCAAUGGGAACUCUCGGGGAAUCCCUGGAAAUCCCCACGAGAACUCCAAAAUAGUGCGAGAACUCAAAAGUCGGGGCAGAGGCGGAUAGUAAUGCCUCGCCUGUCAAUCAAUACUGUUGGCAAAAUGCCAGGGGCCAUACAGACUCGGCAGUGGCUCUCAGCAUCCCCCGGGAAGGGACCAUCCCAAAGGGAGCCCAUGAAGGGCUCAGGGUGUCCUUGAAGGAGUCUGUGUGCGAGGGGGUUCAGGCUAGACUCCCUCAGUCUGUUUUUGUAUUUUGAGAGGACAGUGCAACCCAGGAAACACCUAGAAGGCUUUUGAAGUCUUGGCAACAUUGGAGCAGGGAUCAAUAUCUCACACACGCCCUCCCACUACUCUGCUCGCCCAAGCCCUGACAUACACCCGGAGCUUCCUUUCACUCCACGAGACCCUAUUCCAUCCUCGCUCUCAGUUCCACGAGCCCCCAAUGGCUACCUGGGAAGAAGGAAGGAAGGAGAGGAGGAGAUAAGUGAGAGAGAGGAGGACAAUUUUCUUUUUGUACUGAGGGCAGAUAAGAUUCCCCCUGGGGCCUGGGUGGAUGGAAGGGUAGAGAAGAUGGGAGUGAGUGGGAGGUGAGGAAUUAUUCACAUGACAUCUAAUUAAAAUGCACAUCUGAGUCUAAUUCACAAGGCUGACACAUUUCCUGGGACUGCAAGACAAGUCCCUGUCCUCAAGGAGCCAGCAAUGGUAAUUCCAGCAAUGCUGUGACGGGCAUGGGGCAGAGGUAUAAAGAAAAUGCGAGAACAGUGGUUCCUGAACUUCAGCCAGCCUCAGAGGCCUCUGCUCUGAGCUGUAGGGGGGCAGUCCCGCAGUGCCCGGCUGCCCUCCCCAGACCCCAGCGAUGGAAGUUGGUAUGCUUGGAUUGGAGUUCUUAGCCGGCAUUGCUUUCUUCAGUCAGUCAAGGGAGGCGAGGGGCAGGGAGGGAGGCUUCUCCACUUUCCCCUGCACCUGAGAAGCAGCCUCACAGAGGGAAGGGCCUGUGGAAACUUACUGAGACGGAAGGUGGCAUGUUGGGGACAUGCCAGCCGGCCAUGUCCACAGGGCCCAAGUGCAAGGAGGUCCUGAAGUGAAGCCCAAGGGACCCUGCGUCCCAGCUCCUCAGAGCCUCUUUAUGUACCUCUGUCCCUGUGGGCUGUAACACUGAGCAGGAGGGUUCACAGAGGUGGAAGGGACAAAAUCAGAUACUUGGUAGCUGGGGACCAAUCUGCUGGCACCUUGGGGUUCUGAGAAAAGGUUAAUGAUCCUCACCGUUGGGGGUGUGGGGGUGGCAGGCUGUGGGACUGCAGAGGAGUGGCCAACUGGAUGCUCCACAGGGGCUCCAAGGCCCCUUUGCUUCUUGUGAGGCUCUGGAUCACUAAGCCCCCAGGGAGAGGAAGAGGUGACACAGAAGUCACAUUCCCCAGCCAAGCACAUCAAAUGGCACCUGGAGAGGUUUGACUCGGGACAGGUGGAGACUUGUCAGGAAUGGCUGCUGGCUUCCUGGGUCAUGCACAGACAGGCCCAGGCUGUGUAGCACACCAAAACACACUCAGGUACAGGACAGCACCAGUACCCAGAGCCACCUGCCCUGAGGGACCAGCCUAGGUCAUUUUCAGAGUUAGGAGUCUGAGCUGUCCCCUCUUCCAGGGCUUCCCCAACUCCAGUCUCUUUCUGAGUUCUACAGUCUCAGGCACCAGGCCCCUGCCCCACCGCACACACACACACACACACACACACAGGACCCACUCGGUGGGUGUGAACAGGGAGCCAUGUUGGGGCGAGGUGAAGGCAAAGAGAAGCAGAGCCUCAUUGAGACCCAGCUUGUAUCCUGCUCCAGACUCUCUCCCACACCGUCCACCUGCUCCAGUUCUCCCCAUUCCCUACCUUAAGCCAAGCCCUCCCUGGGGUCUUGUAGGCCACAGAGGACUUUUGCUCCUUUCUGCCUCUGUCCCUUGUCACACUCUAGCACCAGCCAAGCUUAAGAGCUCCAGUUGUUUAUAGAAAGUCAUCACCUGGCCACAGCUGGCAUUGACACUGGGAGUCCCAGGUGACUGGCGUGCAGAUGGGCCCUUGGCUUCAUCUCCCGUCUGAUCUGAGUAUUUUUAAAUCAGAGCCUGUCAGCAUGGCAUGAUAUCCCACCCGCCCUUCUUCCUCCCUGCUCCACUGUUAAAGAAAGUGGGAAGCACCAGGGAGGGAGCCAGGGGCCAUGUUCGCAGCCCCCACUCUGCUCUUGCUUGCUGUGUGGCCUCCAACAAGUCCCCAGACCCUCUUUGGGUCUGUGGCCUCUAAUGGAGGAGUGGUGGGCAUCACUGGUGAGCUUUUCUCACUUCUGUCAUUCUGUGACGGGGGGCCAAGUUCUCCUGCUGCAGACGGCCUGAGACUCCUGACCGUGCUGGCAGGGCGGGCUUCAGGCACCUGUCAUGCAAGGGGGCGGUUGCCCCUGUGAUGCCACGGAAAGGGGUCCCAGCGCCCUCUCUGUUUUCAAGGGCACCAUUAGCGAGGGGCUCCCUUACUCCUUCCCUGCCUCUGACUCUUGGGUGAAAUGGAAUGUGACUUAGCUCUCACCUGGAGUAUUUUCCUCUGUCCCAGGAGCCUGGGCUGGAGUGCAGAGGAUCGUCAUGUGGACCUGUGUACGGGUGAAUGAAGGGUCAGAAUUUUAGAGAGGGGGAGCCAUAAAAGCAUUCCUCGGAGUCAGAGAACUUGAAGGGAACUUGAGACAUCUCCUGUCCAGAUGGAGACGCUGUGUUGUCUGAUUUGUCAAAUGCCACCCAGCUCCCAACUUUGGUACCUGGACAAGGGAUGUCACAGAAAUAACAGCAUGUCACCUCCCCCCACCCCAAAGCAAUGGCCAUCAUUGCCAGUGUUUUCAAAGAUCUUUCCCAACUGAACCUGAACUUGGCCUCAGAAUAAUUUAGGAAGUCACAAAGUUGGUAAAUAGGCAAAAAAAACCUGUGUUCAAUCCCUGUCCAAGACCCGUUAGUUGUGAUGUUCAUUUACCCGGGUUCACAGCUGGAUCAUCUUCAGGGACGUGCAGCAGGACCCUGGACAUUCUGGCCUCCAGGGUCCUAAUUAGACCCGGGUUCCUUAUCUGUCCAGGUGAGAGGGGAAGAAGUCCAGUCAGACACCCAGCCCUCCUCUGGAGAUCUCACCUACUCCCUCAUUUAGAUCCCAGUCACGGCUCUUUAGAAGUGGCUCCCUUCAUCCGCAAGGCCCUGGUGCCCAGGGGUACCGAGUCAUGAAUGUGGAGCCUGCCUUCUGCUCUCUCACGGGGAGCAGCGGCAGCAGCAGGUUGAAUUUGCAUGAGCUUUGCAUGCAACUGGGGAUUUAUUUUUGGAAGGGGGAAGGGCAGGUCAGGAUUGGCGGGUAAUCUUAUUCCUGCGGAGAACUGUCAAUCAAUGCAGCCAAGACACAAGCUGCCCUCAGGAAUGGAGGGAGGCUCCGCCAGCCACUGAAGGCUGAGCGCUGGGGGGACCUGCACACAAAAGGCUGCCACAGAGUAGCUUUUGAUUCCUCCAGAGCAGUGGGAAGCAGAAUUGCUUCCGAUUGUUUGCUGGAUGGAAUGACUCAGCCUGCCAGCGAUUGCCCUUUCACUUUCCGCCUUUCCUGGGAAUCCAAGUGCACUUAAUCGAGAGCUGCGUGGGCCCCUGCUCCCGGCCCACCAGCAACCUGCUCCCUCUUAGCACCUCAGCACCCCUCAGCCUCUCCUCAUGCUGCCCACACCCCUCCGCCCCCUUCUCCAUUCUACCCCUCCGCCCCCUUCCUCCUCCAUUCUUGCCUCUUUUUCAUUCACUCAGAAAAUACUUAUUCAGUUUUGCACACGGAGCCCUCCCGGCCGCUGAGGUUUGCAGGCUGGGCUGAGAUGAUUAACUAGCUCCAAGGCUCACCCUGCCCCAGCCGUGGCCCUUCGACCCCCGCCUCCCCCAUCCAGAGCAGCAAAUAGGAGGAGGGGUCAAGGACAAGAAACACAAACACUGGGAGGAAUGCCAGAUAGGAAAGCUGAGCCGGGCGUGUGUGUGCUGAGGCGGGGAGUCAUAAAAGGGGACUCAAUUAGCCCGGGGCACGUGCCCCAUUUAGCCAUAGAGAAACCUCUGCUGGGGAGCUGGCUGGGGGCCCACUCGCCAGCCUGGCACAGCCAGAGCCCCCAGCCCCAGCUGGCAGAUGCCUCGCAACUGUUCUCACAUCUCUGCAAGGUGCAGCUGGCCUCUUGCUGGAGGCCAAGAGGCAGGUCUGGUUGUGGGGAAGUUCCCCAUGAACUCAGCCCUGGGAGACGGAAGUGAUCCUUCCUGAGCAACCUGCUCUUUGAACUUGAAGACAUGUGAGAUGGAGUCCUAGCAUCUUUCCAUGGUCCUCUGUAAUGUCAGCAGGUUUGGUAGACAUGCUGCGUGGGCCACCCUUAUCCUGGGCAAGCAUUUGGAUACAUGUGAUUUCAUUUAAUCCCGACAAAUGGCUGCCAAGUCGGUAUCAGCCGUGCUUAUCUGACACACAAAGAAAUAGAGAUCCUGAAAGGUUGAAUCGUAUGCCAGGUGACAGAACAGGUUCAUCAAUCUGUGAUCUUUUGUCCAGGGCCUAACGUGACGAUUCUUUGCAGAACCAGAUGAUGGCACCUAAUGGUUCCCUCCUAUGGAUCUAUUGCAACCCUACUGUUCAAAGCGGCCACAAGUGAGGUCCAGAAUGUGGCACGAGGGCCAGGAGCAGGAAUGAGUGAGGCAGAAUCAGCAGAGCACAGGUUCCUGGCUGCCGCUUCGCCUAGCCUCUCCCCACUGUUCCCCACAGAGAACAGCAGGUCUGUGCCUCGGCUCCAAGCUCCAAGCAGGCAGAGAAGCUGAGGAAAAAAUAAAAGCACGGUGCCAGGAACAGGUGACCUGAGCAGACAGCAUGGUGUCUUGAGAUGGAGCAGAAGACAUAGGAGAACUUUCUCCUCCUUCUAUACUAAAGUCAAAAAUGUGAGGCCACUUACAUGUGAGAGGCCGGGGGGGGGAGGAACUAACCCAGCAAUCUCGAGCACCCUGCACCUGCAGCUAAACUAGUGCUGCUUUCUAAAUUCUCUUUAUUUAGGUGUCUGUACCUGUCAUCUCCCAACCAGAUCCUUGAAAAUAAAGGCCUCGCCUUACUUUUCUUUGUCUUGGUCAAAAUCCUUGAAAAGGACACGUAUCGGGUGCAAGGGUCCAUUUACCUCUCCCCAGGUUGAUCAGUCGGUCAAUGUCCAAGUCACAAUAUUCGGGUGGAAACCAGAUUUGUAUUUCAAUUUCAUAGAUAUGUCUCCAGUAUGUGGGUGUCACAGAGUCCAGUUUAAGUCACGUGUCUUCUUCGUGCCUCACCUUUCCAUCUUUCCUCUGGGCAGUAAUCCUUAUGCUUCCCUAUGAGCUCACUGGUUAGGAAUAUUUACUAAGCACCUACUAUGUUCUUGGCACUAUGCACAACACUAUGUGAUACAAAGAAGGUUUAACUCCAUCCCUGUCUUCAAGGAGGUUGAAAGAUAACUGGGGAGACAAACCUUGACCCCUGAGAAGCUAGAUAAGACUAGGCCAGGUGAGCUUAGCACUGGGAGAGCUCUGUGGCUCCAGAGUGGGCUGUCCUGUCACCUGCUCAGACUAGGAACAGGACAGCUGCUUCUUCCUUUGGAAAGGAAGCUCUGAGUUAUUCAUGAGAGUCUUGCCCACCUCUUCUCAGCCCUGGGCACAAUACUUGCCCCGUGGUCUGUCCUGUGGGAACUUGUGCAUGGAUGUGGUGAGGGUGUGGUCCUCCAGGGUCACAGAUGGACCUGAACCUGAGAAGACAAGGCUGUGGUUCCCAGGGCUAGGGUCAGAAGCUACGCUGUGCUGGAGAUGCCACCUAGAAGAAAGGGAGUGAGGGCGUGCUCUGUCUUCACUCAGCCGUCAUCAACCACUCCUGGAGGCAGUCUGGGACUGCCCGUGACAGGGGGACUCAAUUAGCCCAGGGCACGUGCCCCAUUUAGCCAUAGAGAAACCUCUGCUGGGGAGCUGGCUGGGGCCCACUGCCUUCCAGGGCACAUGGACCCACAGGAUAAUCAUCUCUCAUUGGAGCAGCACUGUGAUCCCUGCAGGACAGUAUCCCAUUUGUAUCAGACGCACACACACACAAACACACACAGACACACACACACACUCUUCCUACACACCUCCACUCCCACACGUGACCCAGGUACAACAAGUAACACCACCUUCUCCCUCUUCCCCAUCUGGGAAUAGAACCCAGUUCUCCUUUUCUGUCACCAACUAGAAAGUGUGCUUAUUGUGAACUUGGAACUUGAGCUGAGACCUGGGCAAGUCCCUUUCUGCUCUUGGCCUCAGUGCAACCUCUAUGUCAUGGAGGAGUUGAUCAGGCAAAGUAUGGAGGUCCUGCCUGAUCCCUGUGUAAUGCAAUACAUGACUGGAGAGACGCUGCCCUCCAUGUCCAGGCGGCUGCUGAGCAGGGAGCCCUCAAGUGGGUCACCCUAGCAGGCCAGCCUCUCUGCAGGGCCCAACUCCUUCACCCCACCCAGGCAGGGCCAUAAAUUCCUCCCUCUACCCUGCCAAUGGCCCCUCUUGGGAGUAACAACAGCCACUUGCUCCUCCCUUUUCCCAGGUGAUGUGGUGAAGUGGGAUGUGGGGGCUCCCUUCUCAAUCCUGCUGUCUUCCUGUGAUAUCUUGGUGAAUAAGGGUCUGAGAUUCUAGCUCUCCUGCGAGGGUCUUUAAUUUAAGGGAGGGACCUUUAAAAACUAGACAGCUUCCAAGACCCCAGCAAGUCUUAGAACAACUCCACACAUAUGCAAAAGUAAUCUAUACAGGAGAGUUUGGUCAGCACUUGGGAAGAUCCGAACAAGGAGAGUAGAAGCACUUGGUACCACACCCAGGCCGGAGCAUUGAGCUCCACAACGGUCCACACAGGAGAUCCACAGAUGAGAAGAGGUUGAGUAAGGCAAUCCAGGUGGCAGAAGGAUACGUACAACAUAAGACCAUUUGCAUAAAGUUAAAAAAAAGGCAGUAUUCAUAGAGAGUAUGUUAAAAUAUGUUUAUGUUACAAAAAUGUUCCCACCAAAUUCAGGAAGGAUGUGCAGGGAUGGGGAGAAGUGAGUUUGGUGGGGGGAGGGGGGAGGACCAGGGAAUGGGGAUUUCAACUCAGGUAUUUUAUUUCUGAAAUCGAUGUCACAACAUUUUAGCAAUGUCAGUUCUGCACUCGGUGCUUGGGUUAUUUUAUUUUAUUUUUUUAAGUAUUUAAAAUAAAAAUUAAACACAAGCCCCUGGGCCCUGCUCACCUGCCAGGCAGCUCCCCAGUCUGACCCUGGGGAACCCCCACUGAGGGUGGUCUCAAACUUGCCCACUUCUUAGAACACAAAGGUAUGCCCUCAGUCCUCAUACCUCCUACACUAACACUCCUGGACCAGCUGCCCAGAUACCAACCUUUGCUGCCAUCUCUCUAGUCCCCAAAGGGAAGCAGAAGCCAUCAAAGUUGUCAGUAAUCCAAGACCAAGUUCUCUGUCCCUCCCAAAGUUUAUGUGGGGUUCCCCAUAGAAAGACAUAUUCAUGUCUAAAUGGGGCCAAUCAAGGUGCGGAUGUCAGGAGCCAAGGGACCCUCAGUAGUCAUAGCUGGAAUGUUGGAAGGGUGCAUUUUUCUGAAGGGGGGGUCUAGUGUUCUCAUUAAAUUCUCAAAAAGUCUCAAAAACACAAAAGCUGAGAUGAAUCCCGCCAUGUGUUGUGGUUGGAAAUUGAGCCCAGAGAAGACUUGAGGCUCUGCACCCAUCUCAAGCUGCCCACUGCAAAGUUCAGAAGGUCAUGGGACAAGUAGCCCAGUGGCACUGGGACUUGUGGUCAGACUGGCACAGUGAUGGGACUUCCGCCCUGUGUGCUUUGCAGACAAACCGAAUGUGUCAGAACUGGCCCAGGGAGGGUAAGAAAGAAUAGCACUGACCAGCAAGCACCACAGGGUUUUCUAAGUUCUGUCUGUCUUUCAGGUUCAUAAUGGAGUCAUGUGGCAGGGGAGCAUGCCUACCUCCAUAUUACAAGUGGGGAAACCGAGGCACAGAGAGGUGGAGUCACCUGAUCCCAGUCACACCAAAUCAGCAACAGAACUGAGGUUUCUAGUUCAAGUUUCUGUUCACCUGAAACCAGGUUUCGUGACCUCAGAACUAUUGACAGUUUGGGUCAGGUGGUUCUUUGUUAUGGGCUGUGCAUGCAGCUAACCACUGUAGGAUUUCAGGAACCACUGGCCAUGCUCACUGGGUGCCAGUAGACCCUGGUCACAGAAGUCAGAAGUGCUUUGUCAGGCCAGGCGCGGUGGUGCACACCUGCAAUCACAAUGACUCAGAGGCUGAGGUGGGAAAAUCUCAAGUUCAAGGCCAGCCAGGGCAACUUGGUGAGACCCUGUCCUAAAAUAAAAAGGACUGGGGAUGUGGCUCGGUGGUAGAGUAUCAGGGAGCCACAGAGCUCCGUGAGGCCUUGGGUCACCCCUACUACCACACACUCAUACACACAAGGUGUUUUAUUCCAAUAUUGCCAAACCACCCCUGCUGGAGCUUCACUGCCUGUGCCUUCCCUGGGCCUUCACAGUUGUUAUCCCCUCUAAGGGGACCAUGUUACAAAAACUCCUAUUCGGCUGGCUCUUCUUGAUUGCUAUUUUCCCGAGGUUUCCCUGGCUACCCUCUAACAUAGUAGAUGCACACCUACACUUACAUGUGCACAUUUGCAAAUGCACACACAGGUACACACAGAGACAUGCACACACAGGAAGAGACAUGGAUACAUAUACAUGCAUGCCCACACACAUGCACUCUUGUGAAUAUAGACAUGUACACACAUACACAUGUGCACAGACACGUGUGCACACAUGUACACAUACACACACACACACACUCUUCUCUCCCAUAUUUUUAGCUUUUUAUUUCUCCUUUCCACAUCUCUUCCUUCUUCCACCCCAGUACCCACUGGCCCCUCCGCAUUUUGCACAGUAAUUGGCCCAUUGUGAGAUUCUGAGUGAUUUUUUUUCUUUUCUUUUUGGUAUCAGGGAUUGAACCCAGGGGUGCUUAACCACUGAGCCAAAUCCUGGCCCUUUUUAAUAUUUUAUUAUUUAGAGACAUGGUCUUGCUGAGUUGCUCGGGGCCUUAAUGCAUUGCUAAGGCUGGUUUUGAACUUGUGAUCCUCCUGCCUCAGCCUCCCAAACUGCUGGGAUUCCAAACAUGUACACAGCUCUGAGUGAAUUUUUGUUGAAUUGACCAAAUGAACCCUCACACCACAGUCCCAAGGGCUCCGCCCUAGAAGCAGGCUACUGGGCAUGGUAAUUGCAGAGGAGUCCACAGCUGGGUGGGUUAGGGAAGGGGGGGGGGUGCACACUGAGUGUGGUGCAUCUGGGUGGGACCUCAUGUGGUACUGCUCCCUGCAGUAGGCAGCAGGGAGGCCCAGGGUGUGGCUGUGAGCACCUGAUGAGAAGCCAGGCAGCCUUUCCCCCUGCUGAGGACAGACAGGCCAGGAGAGGCAGGCAGGCAGGGAGUGCCUCGCCUCUGUAAGAAGAAGGGAGCAGGAGGAGGGUGGCUGGAGGCUGAGCACCCUGAGCUUGGAGAGUGACCUCUCUCCUCUCCUCGGCUGGAAGCCUGGAUCUGGUGUGGCUCAGGGCACAGCUGCUUCACCCCAUGGGAAAGGAAGCCAUUGGCUGCGGAAGCCAGGAUGAGUGAUGUCCUUUCUCUGUGAACCCUUUUUUAACUCCAUGGCUCCCCUUCCACGUUCCGGAAGUAGGUAAUCAAAGAAAUGUGUCCCACUGGCUGGAGCCCCGGGUUCCUCUGGGAAGGAGGGUGCAGGGUGGAGUGGGAGGGAAAGCCAAAUUACCCCACUUGUGUUCCCACCUAAAUGUGUGGGAGCGGCUCAGAAGCAGGGCUUCCCAGGAUUCCAGGCCGUUUCCUGUGGCUGCUCCGUGCAGCCUGGGCUGGCGGAAGGGUGUGAAGCGGCUGGAGUGAGGUUCUGAAUUCCCUGGGGCUGGAUUGAGAAGUACAGCCCUGGAGGUCUUCCUCCAACAGCUGCUUUGGGUUCCUCUUCUUCUUUGUUCUUCUCUUCAGGCCGGAAGUGGGCUCUGAGCUGGAUUCCUCUGUGAAGUCCCUGAGAGCUCAAGCAGAAGAGGGGGUUCAGCCGCACUCAGUGUGAGGUUCUCCUCUGUGCCCUCUUCCCCCUUUCCAAAUCUCCAAGUGAUUGCUGCGUUUACCCCUGGCCAAGGGGGAUUUUUCCCCCCAGAGAUUAAAAUGUGCACCUUCAGAUUCUUGUCCUUACAGAGGUGGGUGGUGAGAGGAUUUGGGUUUAGGAAUGAGGCGUGACUGCACCCAAGUUUUCCCUGAUGUUUUCUUCAACUUGACAGGGGAACAAGUCUAGGUACUUAGGGGUGAUUAGCUUAGCCUCAGGUGGAUCCUAGAGUAACUGGAACCCCACAGUAACUCUGCAUCCCAGCAAUCUACCUGGGCUGGGACAGGAACUGUCUCUCAGGGACCAUCCUUCAGCCACUCCUGUCCUUUGCUUCUGACAUCAUCAUCUUUCUGAUCCUGAGCACGCAGCACAGAGUCCGUGCACCUCAAGCCACCUGGGUGCUGCUCGGGUGGAUGGAGCUCAAGUCGCCUAAGAUCUGAUUGGCAUUUGUCCACAGAGGAAAUGAAGCUUUGGCUGGAGGCAGCAGAAUGUGAUUUCUGCUAUAGGCAUGCUCUCCCCCAAUCCUGGGGACUCUCUUUGCUCUUUAGGAUGGGAACCCAAACAUCUUUGAGCCUACUGUCAUGCGAUGGCUGGCAAAUGAGGUAUUUGGGUGCAGGUUCAAAUCCUGUGUUGGUCACUGGUCAGCUGAGCCACUGGGGCUGUGACAUGGCACCUCUCUGAGUUGGCACCUCACCUUCUCAUUUUUGUUCUAAGAUCUCUAAGGUCUUUGUUGUCACAGAGCUCAGAGACUGAUGAAGACGUGCACAAGCAGCUGGGUUUUAGAAUAAGAGUAUUAUAGGUUAAGUAUGUAUUGCACAGGAAAUAAAUAGGUUGGUAUGACAGAAAGCAGGGGAGGAGCCCAACCUUUUCACAGGUAACUAGAGAAAAACACCUUCCUUCCGGAGGCCAGGCUCGAGCUGAGAGCUGAAGGAUGGGAAAGGGCCAUCUGAUCUGCCAGAAGAGCAAAGAGAGAGUUCUAGGCCAGAACAACAGCAGGCGCCCAAGCUCUAGGUGGGAAGAGGUGUGUUCAACCACCAGGAGGUGAGGGGGUUAUGACCGUGGAGGAAAGGCUGGUGUGAGAUCAGGUGGGAACAGCAGGAGGAACCAGGGCUUCCCUGGCUUGCAAGGUGUGGGGAGGAAUCUGUGUUUUACUCUGAGAACUUGGGAAGACUGGAAGGGUUUUCAUAAGGAAGUACAAUGGCCUUCACACUCCAGAGGAGUGUGUCAAACAGACAGGAAAGACAUUUGGAGGCUGUUUCAAGGUCCAGUUGAGAAGAGAUGGAGGUAAGAAGUCGUCUCGGUGUCUAAGUAAAUCAAAACCCCCCCGUCCCGUCCAUGACCCCUAACUUGUGUCCCUGUGAAUUGGCGACUCGGUGUAGGGGUCGGGGGUCGGGGCGGGGAGAAAAAAUUUUAAAAAUAAAACUCUGUCCUAGACCGUUUCAACGACUCCGACCGGAACUUCAACACUAGGAGGACGGAGUCGGAAGUUUCAGUGACCCUAAUGUCCGUUCACGAUGGUACGGACCGAGUAAAUCGUAAAAACGAAAAAAUGGGGCAGACACAACGUCCGAAGACCUUUUGAAUAGAAAGACAAAUAGUGUGUGUGUAGUGUCGGUAUUCGUGUAUGGGACACGGUGUUAAACGUGAAGCGAGGACAAUCACAAAACAGAAACAUGACCUACACAAAUUCUCAAGUCUAAAGGUAAAAUAUUGCUUCUUUCGAGUCUCUCCAACUAAAACAGAACAAAGACCCAACAACAAAACAAAACAAAACAAAACCAUCACCCCUAACUUCGGUCCCCACGAAUUGGUGGUUCGGUGUAGGGGUCGAGAAAAAAAAAAUCAAAAUCUACCUCACAAUAUCUCUAUUUUAUUCAUUUAUUUUUUAUGUGGUACUGAGGAUCAAACCCUGUGCUUCACAUAUGCUAGGCAAGCACGCUGCCAGUGAGCUACAACCCCAGUCCCAUCUCUUUAUUUUUUAUUUUGAUGCAGGGACUCACUAAGUUGCUUAGGGCCUAGUUAAAUUGCUGAGGCUGGUCAUGAACUUGUGAUCCUCCUGCCUCAGCCUCCCAAGUUGCUGGAUUUACUAGCAUGCCCCACUGUGCUUGGCUCAGAGAAGCCAACAGCCAGGCCUCUGAGACUAUGUAUGAAGUGCUCAUAAGUGUUUCUUGGGUGACGAAAAGUAAGAAGCCAGUUGUCCAAGUGGUACGAUGCAUACAGUCGCUUCCCUGUGUGGGCUGCAAUAGAAGAGCUGGCCCUGGAGUUCUGAGCUGAGCUACAGAAGGAUGACCUAGGGGAAACAAUCACGUCUUUGAGUGUCAGCUGUCAGGUCACUGGAAGAACUCUGUGCUCCCAGGAAGCUCAGUGGGGGAAUGGGAGGCAGGGAAGUUGCUUUUUGGAAAAUAAAACUGGUUCUAGAAAAAGCAGUGUGGAUACUGAGGACAGCACAGGGAUGAGAGAUGGGGUGGGAAGGCUGAUCACACAGACAACAGAGACCAUGAAAAUGCCUGCCGCUGCAGAGUGCCUAUGACCUACUCAGCGUUCAAUAAAUGUCACAGAACGCUCAUCGAUUCAGGGUAUUUCAUGAAUUUUUCCCAGUGAUCCUAUGAAUCUAAGAGGCCGUCAAGUUAACAAAAGCUCUUCAGGUAAGAACAUGCCUCGAACUCACAUGAUGAAGUUUGGUUGUGUUGUGCUAUUGCUCCUGGAAUUUGGAAGAUCCUUACUGCUAACACAGCCUCUGUGUUCUCUGGGAAACAACCCAAGUCUGGACCCAGGCGGUAAUGCUCAGUCUGAGCCUCUGACUCUUUCAGCCCGGCAUACACAACUCCCCGUGGCCACCCAGGGCUGCUUUGGCUCCUUUGAGAUGGACAGGAUAAUUUAGAGCACCUCCGGUUUUAUUAAGCGGGGGGGUUGUUUUCCCUUGAUCAGCUCAUCCGUCUCCUGACUGAGAAACUCUCCUUGCGCAUGCCUGAUGCUCACACUGCCUUCCCUAGCCUUGACAAUCACGUGAUUGUGCUUAGAGAUUCGUCAACCUGCACAUGGGAGGCACUGACAUCCCAAUUCAUUCCUCUGGUCCAGUGACUGACAAGGUUGCUGUGAAUGUUGGAGCACUGACUGUAAGAGGUGGCCCUCGAUGGGGCAUGAUGGCACACACCUGCCAUCCCAACUACUCUGGAAGCUAAGGCAGGAGAAUCUCAAGUUCAAGGCCAACCUGGGCAACUUAGGGAGACACCAUCUCACAGUAAAAUAAGAAGGGCUGGGGUGUAGCUCGGUGAUAGAGCCCUUGCCUAGUAUGUGCAAAGCGCUGGGUUCAUCCCUAGCCCCCAAAAAGUAAAAGAAUAAAUUAAUUAAGAGAGAGAGAGAGAGAGAGGCCCUCUGACUUUUCUGAAAGCUUUUAUGUUUUAGAAUGAGUUUGCAAAACUGCAGGUGCAAAAUGGUAGGUAGUUUACCUCCCUGUCGUGGCUGGCCUUGGUGUGACUGGGAGUCCAGUUCAAGUCUGUCACAUGCUUCUCGACCUUCAAGGCCACCGUCUCUUUCCCUCUUUCUCUCAUGGACCCUCUGCACCACUUGAGGUGGCUUUUCUUCUAUCCCACCACCAAAUCUGCUCUUGUUAGGUCACCAGUGAGCUCCACCCGACCACAUCCAUUGACCAACACUCAGCUGGCAUCUCACUUAGUCACCCAGCCGGUGACACCAUCCUUGUGGGAAAUUCCUUCCUUCAUCCUGCCUCAGGUGUCCUCCUGCCCACCAGGGCUCCUCAGUGCUCUCCCUCCGUCCUCUCUCACUUCCUGACCUCUUGGAGCUCCAGUCAGUCCUCGGACUCCUCCUGUCUUUCUGCAGCGGCUCCUACACCUGCCAUCUUCUGCCUGUGGCUCCAACUCCUCCCUCACUUCCUCCCUCACUUCCUCCCUCACUUCCUCCUCACUUCCUCCCUACUCCCUCCCUCACUUCCUCCUCACUUCCUCUCUCACUUCCUCCCUCACCUUCUCCUGCCGUGUACCUCAUCACUCCUUGGAUGCCACAUGGGCUUUGAAAACUUACCGUUUUAAACCAAAUUUCUAUUUCCCCCUACACUGGCUCUGUCUGUGGCCUUUCUGCUUCUGGCCUGCUCGGAUAAAAACAUUUGGCAUUCUUUAUGUCAUUUUUUUUCAAUAUUUUUUUUUCUUCUAUUUUUAAAAACUUUCUUGAUUCCUUUCUUUUUUUUUCUCACUUCCUUAUACCCCAUCCUUUUGCAAAUUCUAUCAGCUCAAAUUUAAAAUUAUAUCUAAAAUUUAAUGCACAUCUGCCACCCCAAGAUGGCUGCAUUAGUCACUCACUUAAUUGGCCCCCCAAUUCUGCCCCAGCCCCUCACUAGCCUCUUCUCCAUCCAGCUGUGGACAGUGACCUUCCCAGCAUGUCAGAUGAAAUUGCUGGCUGCAUAGAGCCCCUUGGGACUCCUCUUAGAAUCAAGCCAAUGCCCUUGCAGCCAGGGGCCCCUGCUGGCUCCCUGACUGCUACUUCUCCAGCCAGGUUGGCCUCCCCACUGAUCUCAGGUAGCCAGGCACAAUCUGCCUCAGAGCCUCAGGGCUUUAAAUGUGGAGUUCUUCCUGGUGAGCUCGGUCCCCCCAGAUUUCCACAUGCCUUGCCCUUCAUUUUCUUGAGUUCUUAAAUGCUACCCUGAUGGAGACACUUCCCUUACACUCCCUGAGUCCAUUUUCUGUUGCUAUAACAGAAUACCACAAACUGGGUAACUUAUAAAGAACACAGGUGAGAGUGUUCUUGCUGGUGGAGCUCUGCAGGGUCCCCAGGUGGUGCUGACAGCAACCUUGCCAGUCUCUGUUCCUCCUCCUUCCGACACCAUUAACCUAUGACUUUGGGGAUCAAGCCCCCAGUAGGGGGAUACAGGGACACCAGAGCCCUCCACUGGUGGAACAACCCUGUCCUUAAAUUCUGUCAUCCUGGCUCCGCUCGGGCUCUGAGAUCAUUGACUUGUGUGUGGCCUGUCAACUGCACGCUGAGCCUAAGUUGCAGGAGCUCAGUGUUUGGGGCUCUGAUGGACACCCCAGUGCGUGGAACAGCACCUCGCCCCGAGGGGGCUCCUGGUGGCAGAGACGGAGCUGGCAUCUGCCCAUGUUUCUCUGCUGCCCUCCUGAAAUCAAUGUCAAAGACAAUGUCCAGUGCCCGGCCCAGCCCAGGCUGACCUCUGUCUGCAUCUCCUUCCAGGUCCAUGGUUCUCCCAGGCUCUGCAAGAGUUUUGCUAUGACUGCAGUCCCCUCGCGGAGCCAGCAUCACCCCUCGCUGCCACCGCCACGCCAGGCCCCCGCCCCGCCCUGCCCGUCCCUGGCCCCAGGUCACCAUGGGCAGCGUCAGCAGCCUUAUCUCCGGCCACAGCUUCCACAGCAAGCACUGCCGGGCCUCGCAGUACAAGCUGCGCAAGUCCUCCCACCUCAAGAAGCUCAACAGGUACUCUGACGGGCUGCUGAGAUUCGGCUUCUCCCAGGACUCCAGUCACAGCAAGUCCAGCUCCAAAAUGGGCAAGAGCGAGGACUUUUUCUACAUCAAGGUCAGCCAGAAGGCCCGGGGCUCCCACCGCCCAGAUUACACGGCACUGUCCAGUGGGGACAUCGGGGGCCAGGCUGGGGUGGACUUUGACCCAUCCACUCCACCCAAGCUCAUGCCCUUCUCCAAUCAGCUAGAAAUGGUAAGUGGGGGUCCCUGGCAGGGAGGAGGACAGGAGUUGGGGGGGGGGGAUGGGAGUUGGGUGGGAAGAGAAAAGGCAGAGAAGGGUACAGUGGUCACCUCUCUCCAGGAGGCCGAAGCAGCAGGGGUGAGGGGGGAAAGUGCAGCCUCAUCACAGAUCAAAGGCUGGACAAGGAAUGAAAGCUGGUCGGUCCCCCUGAGCUGAAUGUCAUGGGUCAGCUCUUCAGCAAAGAGCCAAGGGGAAAUUCAGGCCUCUCUGAGCUAUACAGGGAUGUGCCUGGACUGUCAAGGUAGGACAACCAGUUGCAUUCUCAAAGGCAAAGAGAGGAGAGGGGGGUCUGUUGUCAUCUGCAAGAGCAGCUGGGAGGAGUCAGUAUCUUCUCCCUCCUGCAGACUCCUGGAGGUGCGUCUUCUCAUUUGCUGCCCAGGUGCAGUAGCUCCUUGAUCAAGCCAGGCCUGGAGGCAUCUUUAGCCCAAUAAGGACUGGGAGUUUGUUUAACAAUGAUGUAGGCAAAGAGUCCUGGGAUUUCAGAAGUCUAGGCUUUAUGCCAGCCUCAAGCACUCGUAAGUCCCCAUAGUAGAUACUGAAAACAAUUUUCCUAUCCAGUUCCUGUCCGUCUUGUAGGAGCAGAUCCAUGGCUUUGAUACACAGGUUGAGUAUCCCUUAUCCAAGGAUAAGAUACUGAGGACCAGAGGUGGAAUAUGUAUGAACACAUAAUGAGUUGUCUUGGGGAUGGUGCCCAAGUCAAAACAAGAAUUUGUUUGUUUCAUAUACACCUUAUGCACAGAGCCUGAAGGUAAUUUUACACAGCGUUUUUAAUAAGUUGUGCACAAAUGAAAUUUCAUGAUGUGAAAUGUUCCACUUGGGGCCCCAUGUCAGGUCUCGAAAAGUUUCUGAAUCUGCAGCAUCUUGGAUUUGGGAUAUUCUGAUUCGGUUCAACCUGUACUAGGAAAGGGCCCGUUAUGUUUGCAUAAAUCUUGAAGCCUUUUAAACAAUGUGAAAGGACUCUACCUAUGGAAAUUACAAGUUUAAAAGAGGGCUAUUGUUCCCAGUGAUCCUCCCAGCCGAGCAGAGGAUGUGUUAGGGUUCUUGCUGCAGGAUGACCGGAAGUGGCCACAAAGGGCAAGAGGGAUUGACCAACACACAUGGACCCCUGCUUGUCCAGCCCAGGGCCCUGACCAGAGCAGCAGCUGACAUCUCAGUCAGUGAACAUAAAUGGCAUUUGUCUUCUCAAAGGGGCUGGGACAGGCUGUGGGCAGGUUGCUGUGUCAUAGAACAGUGCCCGUUAAGUUAGUGUAAAGGACAACUGUUAAGGACAUCCCCCAGGUACUGAAGAUUUCCUCCCUUUCAGAUGGUCACCGCAAUAGGCCAGCAAGGCUGUUGACCAAGAAGGGUACCGCCUGGGCUCUGAGCUCCUGUGCCUUGGGAGGUCGGCACACAUACCCCAUGGGGAGGAAGAGGAGGGCAGAGCCAGAGGAAAUACUCGAGGUCAAUAUGGUUCUUUGCCUCCCCAGGGCUCAGACAAGGGGGCAGUGAGGCCCACGGCCUUCAAACCGGUGCUGCCGCGUUCGGGAACCGUCCUCCACUCCUCCCCCGAAAGUGCCAGCCACCAGCUGCACCUGGCCCCUCCGGACAAGCCCAAGGAGCCGGAGCUGAAGCCGGGCCUGUGCUCCGGGGCGCUGUCCGACUCGGGCCGGAACUCCAUGUCCAGCCUGCCCACGCACAGCACCAGCAGCAGCUACCAGCUGGACCCGCUGGUCAUGCCCGUGGGGCCCACCAGCCGUUUCGGGGGCUCGGCGCACAACAUCACGCAGGGCAUCAUCCUGCAGGACAGCAACAUGAUGAGCCUGAAGGCUCUGUCCUUCUCCGACGGGGGCAGCAAGCUGGCCCACCCGGCCAAGGCGGACAAGAGCUCCUCGUGCGUGCGCUCCCCCAUCUCCACGGACGAGUGCACCGUCCAGGAGCUGGAGCAGAAGCUGCGGCAGAGGGAGGGCGCGCUGCAGAAGCUGCAGCGCAGCUUUGAGGAGAAGGAGUUCCCCUCGGGGCCGGCCUUGGAGGAGCGCGCCCGGCGCAGCAGGGACGGCAGCAGGGACGAUCCGGAGGGCCCCGAGCCCAAGAGCAGCAGCAAGCUGAAGCAGGCCUCGCAGAAGAACCAGCGCACGCAGCAAGUGCUGCACCUGCAGGUGCUGCAGCUGCAGCAGGAGAAGUGGCAGCUGCGGCAGGAGCUGGAGAGCCUCAUGAAGGAGCAGGACCUGCUGGAGACCAAGCUCAGGUCCUACGAGCGCGAGAAGACCAACUUCGCGCCUGCACUGGAGGAGACCCAGUGGGAGGUGAGGCUGCAUCACAGUCCGGGGCUGGGGGGUGGCCCGCCCUCUGGUGCCUGUCCGCACACACUAAAGGGCCAGCUUUGUGACCCAGGGAAGAGACUCCCUGGUUAACUGUGAUGGGGACGCACUCAGCUCCCGGUUCCCGCCUCUGUCUCCACCAUCACCCCUGUGGCCUCCGGAACUGAGUUUAUUGGCUGAAUCACUGGGGAACCCAGACACGGAGGCCUAGCCAGGCUGUCUGAGGGCAGAACUCACUUCAUCUGCUUACCGGAAGUUCAAAAGGACACCGGGUUCAUCAGGUCCAAGGACCCAAGAGAGAGUGGGAGUUGUUUGCCGGUCUUAAGGAAAAGGACCCCACCCACUCAUAAGAGUGGCCAGGUAGUGCCAGGUCUCAGCAAUGGAAGGGGCCCCUCCUGGCAGAAGUGUGAGUGGAACCCGGGGUUGGUGAGUUGAGAGGGGCACACAGCAGAGGAGGGAAAGGAGACACCUGCAUGCACACGUGUGCACACACACACACACACACACUCAGACACACUCCAGACCGCCUGGACCGCCUGGACCGGCUAUGGAGACGCGGGGGGCACGGCACCCCACUGGUCAGGAGGCAGCUUCUCUCAUCUGAACAGUCCCAGGGGAUGGGAGGGCAGGUGGGUUGUGCACUCAGCAGCGAUGUCCUUGGCCCCAAAGCGCCCUGCCUGGGGAAGAUGAGGGCCCUGUGUCUAGACCAGCAGCAGGCCAAGGUGGGGUGGCCCUCCCUCAGCAAAAUCUGAUCACCUCAGAGCUUCCUGCCCUUGUCCUGGACAGUGAGGUGACAGGGUUCUCAGGAGGAGAAGUGAAGGGACCCUUUCCAUGGGAGAGAUGGGAGGGGAACUGGCCAGGUGAGAAGGGACGGUCUCUUCUAUCCAGCUACACCUGUCCUCUUCCCAUCUGUGUGGCCACAGCAGACCCAACCCUUGUUCUCAGCCACUUUGGAACUUCGCAGAGAUGUGUAGUGAGUACUGGCCCUCGGUCUCCAUCCUUGUCCAGUCAGCAACUAGGUGGACAUUGCUGUGAUCUUGUUCCCAGCUUGUCCACUCAGGGUACUUGGUAAAACAAUAAAAUUAAAUAAAGAAUAUAGGCUGGGCAUGGUGGACAGACACACCUAUAACCCAACUACUUGGGAAGAUCACAACUUCAAAGCCAGCCUGCCUUAGUAAGGGCUGGGGACAUAGUUCAUUGGUAGAGCACUCCUGGGUUUAAUCCUCAGUACUGCAAAAAAUAAAUGAUAAUAAUAAUGACUUAAUAAUAUGCCAUGAUGAUGACAUCAUUCUAAACCUACUUUAGCUUAUUACGUGCCAAGUUCUCUCUUCUAGUCCUUGCAGUUACUCUCUGCAGUAGGUAUUGUAACUAUUCGUCAAUUUACAAUCAAGGAAACUGAGGCUCAGAGAGUCUAUAAUAGCAAACAGCAAGUUAAGUGACUUGACCAAGGUCUGAUACAUAUUAAGGUCAGAGUCAGGAUUUGAUCCUAAUGGUAUGGACCCAGAGUUCACAUUUUCAAUAACCACACCAUAUUGCCACCAUGUUAAUGUGUCCAGAUCACCCAGAUCAUAGGCCACAGAGUCAGGUUCAAAGCCAGCCCAUGAUUUCACCACGAUUCUGUGCUGCUCCCUCCAGGAAACAAAUGCAGGCUUGGCGUGUUAGUUAGCUUUCUGUCCCUGUAGCAAAAUACCUGAGAUAAUCAGCUUAUAAAAAUAAAAGUUGUGUUUGGCUCACAGUUUUGGAGGUCCCAGAUCAAUUGGCCCCUUUUGCUUUGGGCCUACAGAGAGGCUGCACAUCAUGGCAGGAGUGUGUAAUGGAGCAAAAUCACCUCAAAACCAGGGACCCAAAGAGAGAGAGAGGGGAAGAGGCUAGGGCCCCACAAUCCUCUUCUAGGGCACACCCCGCAUGAUCUAAAGACACUUCUUAAAGCUUCCACCACCUCUCAGUAGCAUCGCCCUGGGGACCAGGCACUUAACCCAUGGACCUUGGGGUGACAUUCAAGAUCCAGCCUAUAAUAGCACUUGGCCUUGGGAAGAGAUUCUUGGCCUCAGCCAUGCAUGACAGAUGGGCCUGAGUCUCCUGUAGACUGAGCAGUGUUUCCUCGGGAGCAAGGAGGAGCUUCUUCCCGGAGGGAAAAGUGAGAAAAUAUGAAGGUGAUCUCCAGACUAGUUCCAAGAGUCCAUUCUGCCAGUCCAGGCCUUGGCCUCUAUUCAUUCUUGAGACACAGUCAGCUGGACGGAGACACAUGCCUUGGGUUUUUCAUCAUGGCUUUUUUUCAAGAGACAGGUCUCACUAAGUUAGGGCCUGGCUAAACUGCUGAGGCUGGCUUUGAACUUGCGAUCCUUCUGCCUCAGCCUCCCAAUCGUCACUGCGUUUGGCCAAACUGUUGUAGGUGUGGGGGUGGAGGAGGAGUGCAGCAGGAAAAGCCUGUAGCUCGUACUCUGGUGGCACGGCAGGUUGGACCAGCCACCAGGGUUCAUCAGGGCAGCAGCAGCAGAGGAGAGCAGGGGGCCGGGUGCGUGCAGGGGUGAGGUCAGAGGGUUUGGCAGAGAAGCCAGCACCACUGGUGUCAAAGGUGAGUGAGGGGGUUGGCAGCAGUAGGCAGAGUGGACCACUGAUCUUUGAGUUGCCAAUGGCCAUGGCUUUGGGCAAAGACUGUGGUCUGGACUCGGAAUCAAGGGUGAGUCGGUCCCUGGGGAAAUCAAGACGCCCAGGAGAACAAAAAGAUCGCCCAAGAGGGCUCGGCCAUCCCCGGUUGCCCAGGCAACGGACUUGGGACCCGUAUCUCCAGGCAGCCAGCCCCUGUCUGGAGCAGCUUGGUCCCUUCAGGCGGUUGAGAUGUCCCUUCACCUGGGGCAAGGACACUGAUGUCUGGCACUCUCUCUCCACCCCCAACCCCGGCAGGUGUGCCAGAAGUCAGGUGAGAUCUCCCUCCUCAAACAGCAGCUCAAGGAGUCGCAGACGGAGGUGAACGCCAAGGCCAGCGAGAUCCUCAGCCUGAAGGCGCAGCUGAAGGAGGCGCGGGGCAGGCUGGAGGGCAUGGAGCUGAAGACCCAGGACCUGGAGAGCGCCCUGCGCACCAAGGGCCUGGAGCUGGAGGUCUGCGAGAACGAGCUGCAGCGCAAGAAGAACGAGUCGGAGCUGCUGCGAGAGAAGGUGAACCUGCUGGAGGAGGAGCUGCUGCAGCUGCGCGCCCAGGCGGCCCUGCAGCGGGAGAGCGCGGCCCUGGGCCUGGCGGCGGUCAGCCCCACCUUCUCGGAGGACAUCCCCGCCCUGCAGCGGGAGCUGGAGCGGCUGCGGGCGGAGCUGAAGGAGGAGAGGCAAGGCCACGACCAGAUGUCCUCGGGCUUCCAGCAGGAGCGGCAGGUGUGGAAGGAGGAGAAGGAGAAGGUGAUCCAGUACCAGAGGCAACUGCAGCAGAGCUACCUGGCCAUGCACCAGCGCAACCAGCGCCUGGAGAAGGCCCUGCAGCAGCUGGCUCGCGGGGACGGGGCCGGGGCCGGGGAGCCCCUUGAGAUCGACCUGGAAGGAGCUGACAUCCCCUACGAGGACAUCGUAGCCACUGAGAUCUGAGGGACCAGCCUGGGGAGACAGAGCUGGGGACCUGGUACCCGGAGGCAAGGCCCCCCCCGUUCAAGGAGGGCCCCCCUCCCUUCUCAGCUGCUCAGCCACUCGGGCCUCUCUGAGAGAAGCCACCUCCUAGACACAGGUCCAGGAGCCACAGGUGGUGGGCAGGGGCCAGGAGGAGGCUUCUUCCCCUUCUCCUCCCUGCUCCAGCCUCACCAGCCCGGACCAGCGACCCCCAGCUCUCCCAGUGAUGGGUACAGGGAUCCCCACGCACUGGUUCAGGGCUCCCUAAACCUUGGCCUUUGUUCAAAGCAGUGAAGUGGGCGACUGCUGGGAAGCCCCAGUGGCCACUGCAGGGACAGAAGCUCCCUUCCAAUUCUUAUCCCCAAGCCUGUUUAGUCCCCUGGACACAUCAGGAGGCCUUGGGAAUAGAAAGAAGCCAUGUAUGACCAGAAGCCUUGGAAUCUCAUCUUAAGCUGAGCUGCUCUUCUCUGGCCCCUGAGGUGCAGGGGUUGGGGUGGGGGGUGGAGAACUCACAGCCCAUCAAGCCUCCACACCCUGGCUGUGUGGAGCCUCCGUGAGACCUGCAGAGGUCUGGGGUCUGGGAAGCUGAACAGCGAGAACCAGUGGCAGAUAAUGGGGUGCAGCGUCCAACUGGAGUUACACAGCCUUUGAACAGCUGGUGGCCUUUGACCUCAGUGACCACUCUUCCUCAAGCCAUAGACACUGAGACUCUGGGAUGGGUGUGGGGAAAGGGACACUGAGGGUUUGGCUUUCGGCUAUACCAGGAGUACCUCCCGAUCUUUCCAGUUGGAACUGAGGCCGAGAAGUCCCUGACUGGGUCAGAGUUGGCCAGUGGCCCCUCUGCAAGGAUUUCCCUUCCCAAGCAUCAAAUUUUGCUUGGAUCCAAAUAUAACCCAUCUACUCAGAUGGUACACCUGCAAUCUGGGCAUCUCCCUCUUUUGCCCAUUAACCCCAUUCAGGGGCAUCUCUUCCCUCUUAGCAUCUGUGGUGCUAAGUUCUGAGUCUUCACAGGUUGGGAUGGUCCCCAGAGUGCUGGCAGGCUGGAGCCCCAUCAGGGAGGAUAGCAAGGACAUAGGACAGGGGAUACACACAGCCUUCUGAACAAACAGCCUCAGGCCACCUGCUGUCCCUCCCCCCAACCUCCUGGAGCCUCACAGGAGCCUCAGGCUGUAACGAAUCUGCAGCCUUCCUCAGGGGCACUGUGGGCGGCUGGGGUUUGUCUUUUGAAGAUGUCCAGGGAUGGGUGAAGAGAGCAGUUGCUUGGUUCAGGGAAUUUUCUUUCUUUCUUCUUCUUCUUUUUGUUUUUCUCCCCCUUUCUUGUCUUUUCAGAAACAAGCCAGAUCUAGCAGCCGGCCAGGCUGCUCCAUCUAUUUUUGCUCCUAACCACAGCUGCUGUUGGUAGGAAAGCCAGCCCUUGCUGGGNCUGAGUCUUCACAGGUUGGGAUGGUCCCCAGAGUGCUGGCAGGCUGGAGCCCCAUCAGGGAGGAUAGCAAGGACAUAGGACAGGGGACACACACAGCCUUCUGAACAAACAGCCUCAGGCCACCUGCUGUCCCUCCCCCCAACCUCCUGGAGCCUCACAGGAGCCUCAGGCUGUAACGAAUCUGCAGCCUUCCUCAGGGGCACUGUGGGCGGCUGGGGUUUGUCUUUUGAAGAUGUCCAGAGAUGGGUGAAGAGAGCAGUUGCUUGGUUCAGGGAAUUUCUUUCUUCUUCUUUUUGUUUUUCCUCCCCCUUUCUUGUCUUUUCAGAAACAAGCCAGAUCUAGCAGCCGGCCAGGCUGCUCCAUCUAUUUUUGCUCCUAACCACAGCUGCUGUUGGUAGGAAAGCCAGCCCUUGCUGGGUCCCUGUGACUCUGCCUGUCGGCUGAGAGGGGCUAAGGUGUAGGAGAGGCCAGGUUGGGAGAGUCUGGGUUCUUGACAGUCUGGGAGCAGUCCCCCAGUGCCGCUUCCUGGACGCUGGCCUGAGAGGUCUAGGGGGGGAGUCGGGGGCUGCUUCCCUUGCACCAUCUUGCACUAGGGGUGGGCUGGGGGCAGGGCACCAUCCCUGUGACUAGCUAGCGCUGCCUUCCGUUCCCUGGGCUAACUGUGGCUGUCCUGUGUCUUGCCUGACAGGGGCGGUCCUCUGGAAUGUCACACCAUUGCUCUUAGCCACAGACUGGACUUGAGGCUGAGAUGGACACACCCAGAACCACCUCCCCCCCCCAGGGCAGUACCCUCCACGGGCACAGUUUAGACCUGGUUAAAGACACCCCAUGCUUUGUCCCAUGGCCGUUGGUUCCUCCAUUUCCACCAGCCUGUGCCUUGAGUCCUUUCUCCCAGUGAGAAUGCUCCACAGAGAGAGAGAAGGAGACUGGUUGCUCCCACCCCCCCACACACCCAAGUCGCCAGAAGCCUAGUGCUCUGCCCUCAAGAUCUGGCCUGAGAAGAGGUGAUGCUAAGGCCAGGACAGGCCCUUGGGGACAAAGCCUGCUCUCCACCUCAGUGUGUGUGCCCCCACUCACAGGGACCUCCAUCUUCCCCAUGUCCCUGCCCUAUCCCAUCCCAGACACAUCCACCCAGGCCUUGCCCAGCAUCCAAGAUGGCAGAAGCUGUUCCUGGGCUGCCACUAGCCCAAGGCCCCAGGGCGGCCUAAGGAUGCACCCGACACAAGUGAGCUGUAACCUAGCAACCGGGCCUUCCAGUGGGUUUCUUCCCUUCCCUGUUGAAAGGCACCUUUGCCACUCUUGGGCCCCGCCCCGCCCAGCCUCUCAGAGGGAGGCUGUGAACAGCAAGGUUGAGCAGGAACUGGGGAGUGCAGGCUCAUGCCCGGGGCGAGCUUGGUGACUCAGACCUGCUGUGCUCCCCCAAAGCUGCCUGGGUUGAAGGUGCUCCAGCUCUCUGCAGAGAGUGGACAUUCCGCUCCUCCCACCAAGGAGGGACGGCCUGGGGCCUCAGAGGAGCCAGAAGCCCAGGGGGCCCAGGGGCACCUCACAGUAUAUUCUUCGUAGCCCCAGGGCUCUGAGCUCAGCUGGGGACUGGAGGCUUGGCAGCUUUGCCCUGAGAGACUUUUGCUAAGCUCUUGUCCCUGGCCCCUGCCUGGGCCAUCUCUCAAGGGCAGCCAGGCCGGCCUGGGGAAGUCUGAGCACCCCUGGCCACGAGGGCCCCCUUUCCCGCUCUGUUCAGCGGCUCUUCGUGCUGCCACUGCGGGGUAGAAGCUGGCCUUGAUGGAAUGGUACUUGGAAGGCUGUGUACAUAGUUCUUUUCCUCUUUGUUGUUUCUGGUUUGCUUUGCUUUUGACAGCUUCGUUUUAUUUUGUUGUUGAUGUCACUUUUUGGCCAUGUAAACUAUUUCUGGUAAUUUUAUGUUUUUAUUUAUGAAUAAAGAAUGCCAUUUCUCACGCUCUCCAC
rnacentral:lncRNA from 1 species